UCGCUUUUAUUUCUUCCACAUCACAAGAUCGUAUAAAGCUUAUUUUCUCCACACUAAUAAAUCAUACAUAUUUAGAGAGCAAUUUUUAUUGCAUGCACCGAUGACAACUUACUUGAAGGAUCUUACUCAAUCCAUAGGUAGGUAUGGUGGACUCUCAUGGCAAAACAAGUUUAAGGGAUAUUCGGAAGCACAAGUAGUAUCUCUACUUGGUGCAAAGAAUUUUGUCGGAUUUCGGGUUCCGGCAUACCCUUAAGGUUCGAACUCUGGGGUGCGCGCGGAGAUCUCUCCCCUACCGAUCUACGUCCGAUCUCCUCGUGCGAUCUAAGCUGGAAAUGAUGAACAACACAAGGGACACGAGAUUUAUACUGGUUCGGGCCACCGUUGUGGUGUAAUACCCUACUCCAGUGUGUGGUGUGGUGGAUUGCCUCAGGGGCUGAUGAUGAACAGUACAAGGGAAGAACAGCCUCGCGAGAGGUGUUCUUGAGCUGGUGCGAUGAACUGCUUGGGUGAGUUCAAUCGUCUCUCUCUCUCUAGAUCUAGAUCUUAUCCCCUUCUCGAUCUGCUCGUUCUCUUCUUGGACCUCUCUUUUCUCGAUCUCUCCUUCGACCUCCCUUUGUGGUGGCUAGCUCUAUUUAUAGAGGCCCUAAGCCUCUCCCCAAAUAAUGAGCGGGAAGGGCGCCAACAAUUGGCCAUUUUGAAGGGGAACAUCUAGUACAAGUUAUCCUGACCAAAGGUGGUCUUCGGCUGCCAAAAGCACUGGUGAUGACGCCGUCUUGGGCUCCACGAUGACCUCCGUCCAGCCGCUCUGCUGGUCUUGGUCUCGUUGCACCGGAAUGGUAACCUUUGCCCGAUGCCUUGGCCUGUGCUUGCCCCCUUUGCACCAAAGGGGAAACAAGGGCACUGCGCAGGCCGGCGCCCGCCUGGCGCCCGCCUGGUCUCGAUCGUCAUGGCUUGCGUCACGGGCUCCUCGCGAGGUAUCCCUGCCUUGAUCUCUCCGCCUUCCUCGCGAGCCGGCCUGAUGAGGCUGCCCUUAGGGAAGCUUCCUGUCGUCCGCCCCGCGAGGCUUGGCCCCUCGUGAGGGUCUUGAGCUUGAGCUGAUGAAGAUGGGCCGCGCUGGGCCCCCACUUGAGCCACGCCGCAGGCCGCAUGCAGGCAAGUCUGGGGACCCCCGUUCCCAGAACGCCGACAGUAGCCCCCGGGCCCAAGGCGCGCCCGGGCUUGGCUUAGCAGAGAAGCGAAGGGGCAAGCACGAAGCGCCGCGGGCCCCAAAAGCCUGCGGCCUUGGGCGCCGCAUGGCGAUUGAUUGGACGUGGGCGUCUGCGCUUCCCACGAUGCCUCGGCAACUGUCCAUCUGACAAAAGAGGUGCCCGGGCCAGACUUACUUGGUUUGUUCUCGUUCAUCUCGCCCCAGAUCCCCUUUCUCGCUCUCCUUCUUGCUCCCGAAAUCCUCCAGAUCUAUCUCAAUCCUUCUCAUCCGGCACGCCAUGGCGCCUCGCAAGUCUCCGACUGAGGCCUGGUACUCGCCGGCUCUGGAUUCCCCGAACCUGUCGGAGAAGAACCUUGCCCUCACACGCUUGAUGACGGUGGCGCAGGGCCGCGAGGGGGCGACUGUGCUUAAGGCCGGCUCCGACCAGCCUGAGGGCAAGGGGAGCACCUUCUAUCCGUUCUUCGUGAGCGCCAUCGUCGCCGGUCUGGUGCCUCCUUUCUCUGAGUUCUUCUUUGCUGUUCUCCGCCGAUACAACUUGCAGGCUCUGCAUCUCCACCCCAACUCUGUUCUUCUCCUGGCGAUUUUUGCCUACUAUUGUGAGGCUCACGUUGGGGUAAAGCCCUCGGUGGCCUUGCUGUGCCACUAUUUCUUCCUCCGGGUUUCUGGUGCCCAUGUCUCCGCAUGCGCGAGAUUUAUCGCAUACUCCAACUCCAAUGCUAUCUCGAAGCCUGGGAAUAGGAUCGAAGGCUUCCGGAGCAAGUGGGUCAUGGUGGAUGUCGGGCGUCUUCACCCCCGGCUGGUGUUGCGCAUGGGGCAGCCCAAGGCCGUUGACGCGUGGUCCCGUGCGGAGCUCGUCGACUCUCGUGCGAAGGCGGUGCUGAAGAGGAUGAACGCGGACCUGAGGCCGAGCAACUUGGGGGCGGCGAAGCUGACCGGGGCCACGCUCCUGAGGGAGUUCUUGGAGCACCGGGUGGCUCCACUCCAGGAGCACCCACUCCCGUUGUGGAGGCUUGGGCAGUGGAUGCUGCCUUGCGCCUAAGCUCCGAGGCCCUGGCCGACGAGGAUUUGGUCGCGGCACUCCAUUCCUUGGUUGGGGAGACGUGGCGAUCCCGGCGGGCGCCCCGUCCCCCUGUUCCUUCGUGACGACUGGGAGCAGGUGGUGAGCGCCAUGCCCACCUUCAAUGGUGACGGGCUGGUGCCUGCGGAGGCUCCCGAGGAUCUGGCGGCGCUAGCAACGGUGGAUGUGUCCUCCAGCAGCUCCAGCGGGAGUGGAGGGGAAGAAGAGGCGGAGGAGGAAGAGUCCGACUCUGAGGCGACCGGCGAAGAGUCGGAGGAGUCCUUCCCUUGGCUCAAGUCCCAGGCCCUCCGCUCCAUGCCGGACGACGACGAGGCCGGCGCCAGGCGAGGAGGGGAGGACUCUUCCUUGGUCACGAGGAAAGGCAGGUCGAGCCUGGUUCCCCCAGGGUCUGCUCUGGUCCCUGGGCGAUCUGAGGCCAGCUCCAGCCCACCUGACGUGCCUUCUGCUUCUGGGCCUCCCAAGGCUAACUCCAGCCGCAGGCUCUCGGGCUUCAAGUUUGGCCGGAGGUUGCUUGAGUCCGCAGAUGACGCCCAGUAAGUGCUCGAUUCGUGCUUCGCUUGAUUUCUGCCGCCGAGAUUUGACAUCUGCAUUCUUUUACCAGGUCGGCACCUGCAGCGAAGAGGUUGAGAGGUGCUUCUGCGGCCCUGCUUGGGGAAAAUCCAUCUGCCAGAGCGACGCCUUCGUCUGCUAGGGGGAGGCGACGAGGCUCGCGCUUCCCCUGCUCGAUCGUCUCCACGAGGCCAACUGGGACACCUUGGCGAGGAGUCAGCCCCCGUGGCCCCGCUGACCCUGGAGUCGACUGCGCCUGAUGCCGCAGCCAGGGCAGCCAAGGCCCAGGGGGUUCCUUCCUGCCAAUCCGUGAUUACUCUUCCGUCCUCUCCGCCUGCUCCACUGGUUCCUGCCUCUUCUGCUCCCUCUGCCGCCGUCCUGGACCAGGUCGCCAACGAGCUGAGCCAGCUGCGGGAGGAUCUUCUAAGCGCGGACCCUCGCCUAGUGGCCGGGUGUCUGGAGCUGGCUUCUGGCUGGGCUCGUUCUGCCGCCUCCAUCCGAGCAGCGCUGAGCCAGGCCAUGUCGGCUUCCGAUGGGGAGAAACAGGCCGCCAACCAAGCCAAGUCUGCUCGCGAUGCUGCCCUGGGCGACGCUGCGACUGCCCGGGGCCGCUGUAAGACAUUGGAGGCCAAGCUGCAAGGCCUGCGCGACGAGCUCGCCAAGGAGGUGCGCGGCCGCCAGGAGAAGGAGGAGGAGAUGAAGGCUCGGGAGGCUGCCGUCAAGGACCGGCGCGCCAAGCUUGACGACCGCCACAGCCAAUUGGAGGCGUUGGAGCAGUCGCUGAAGGCGGAGAAGACCGAGCUGGACGCCAAGGCGAAGAUCCUGGUGGAGGACCGGGUGGCCUUCGCGGAGCUGGAGAAGAAGGCUCGCGCCAUACUGUAGACGCUUUACGAGAGCGGCCUGGAUGGUCCGUUGGCUGGUGCGGAGUACGGCCCCGCCAAGCUGCUCCCCUUCCUGGUCGAUGCACUUGAAGAUGUCGCAGACGGCCUUGGCCCCACGGUCGAGGCCGAGGCGCGUGCUCUGUCUUCUGCGGCGCUGACGCAUGUCCUCAGCCAUGUCUACCUGCGUGACCCCAACGUCGACUUCGACAGCCUGCUAGAGCCCAUGAGCGGCGACCGUGCCACCGCUGCCGCUGAGGCCGUGAAAGGCCGAGCCGAGGUUUUGCUGGGGAAGUUCCGCUCCGUCAGCGUCUUGCCCGGGCGCGGUGCCGCCGGCUCCGUGGCCUCCGGAGGCGGAGCUGCCCAGCGUGACUCCACCACAGGCGACGACGCCACCAGAGAGUGAUCCUUAGCGGCUUCUGUCCUAUUUUUAUUCUUGCAACAUGCAUCAUGCCUCGCGGAGGCGUUUAAACUUGUGUUUGGCAUUGUGAAACAAUCUAUGGCUUGUAAUAUUUGCUUUGAAUUUCCUGGAAUUUGCAUUUUCCUCUCCUACUUGCUUGCGCUCUAAGUCGGCAGGGCCCGGCCCCACGCGUACCUCACCCAGCGUUAGCCCCGACCGGAAACCAGGAUGGGACUAAGGAGUGAGGGGCUACGUGGCAAGUUAGGCUCCUGAGUCGCGAUGCUCAGGAGUCCCCCUUGACGCGCGAGCAACAAGUAGGGAAGGGGGGAGCGAGGAGUGGAUUGAUCGUUCUGCGUUGGCAGGGCCCGGCCCCGCGCGUACCUCACCCAGCGUUAGCCCUGACCGGAAACCAGGACGGGACUAAGGAGUGAGGGGCUACGUGACCAGUUAGGCUCCUGAGUCGUGAUGCUCAGGAGUCCCCCUUGACGCUCAAACGGGUUUCGUACCUUGGCUCCGCUCGGGGAGGGCGCGCGAUGACCAGGUCCGAGGGACCUGGCUGGGUGGCGUACGCUCGGGCGAGGCCCGGGCGUAGCCCCCGUGUCCAGCCCCCUCGCGCGGCACUCCCGAGGGGAGGCGUUGCGACGGUGCCGGACACUGAGCUCUGGGCUCCCUGAGGUUGAUACGGCCGUGGGCCGCCCUCAGUUGUUUAUCACCAGCGCGGAGCAUAGCGCUUCCUUAUGUGUACGGGCAUAGCCGCUCCUCGGCAGUGUCGUCAGCGAGCGCGGAGCAUGGUGCUUCCACUGGUACGUGGGAGGGGGCUCCCCUCCGGGAGGAGCCCCCGGGGCGUGUACAGCCCCGCCCUGACACGUGGCCGGCACGGUAGGGCUAGGAGAGGUGUAUCUGGGCACCCGUGAGCCAGCGCGGGACUCACGGGGCCCUACCUCGAGGCGGGUUGCGCCUGGCUCUGGGCCUUUAUCAAUGGUGUGUUCCUGCAGGGUGGUUAGAAUACAAAUGCUCUACGUCCUCAGGUCCCGGCCCUCGAGCGAGCUCAGCCGCCGCUGGUAUGACAGGUCGCGAUGCCGUGGGUCAAGGCCAGGGGGUGAGGGCUGGAGAGCCAGUAGGAUCCCAUGAGUCGCGAUGCUCAGGUACCCCCCUUUUAAUGUGCAAGCGCUUUGCAUGAGAGCGGAAAAGCCCGCGAUAAGCAGCAGGUGACAAUCAUGAAAGAGCGAAUUCAUUUUAAGUAGAUGCAAGAAAAGCAAACGCCGCUGGGUCAGGCCCGAGCAGCUUGGGGAUGAUGCAGCCCGAGGGCGCCCCCAACAAGGUAGGUAAAGAGCAUAAGCAAAAUGGAUACAUGCCGCAGGGACGGACCCACGCGGCCUGGGAAUAGUGCGGCCCUGUGGGCGCUCCCAGCUAAAAACAGAACUUUGAAAGAUGUCACCUGAUGUCGUUGGAGAUGAAGUGAUGCUGAAGAAACGGGCGACGCGUGGCGAAGACGUCGGUCCUCACGAGCCCCCAGGCCCAGGAGCCUCGGGAGGCUCCGGGGGCACGGUUAGGUCUCCGAGGGCCAUCUCCACCUCCGCCAGGACCGCAUGGCGCCUGACCUCCUGAGCCUCCAGAAUGCUCCUCAGCAGGCGCUGAUGAGCGGUGACUGCGUUCGGCAGGCCGAAAGGCAUGCGAACGUAGCUGUGAGGCGGUCCCUCGCAGCGCCCCACGCGCGAAGGCCAGAGGCGCUCCUGAGACGCGACUCGGUUGAGACCUGGUACGUCGAUGCAGACGCGCAGCCCACCAUCCUCGCCUGGAUGUGCGGCUACGGCGGGUAAGCGGCGGCUGCCGCGCAUGACUCUCGACUCCUGUAGCUCCUGGGUGUUUCUUGCGAUGAACUCCUGAGGGUUUGGUCUUCCUUGCCUUGUACCUUCCUGAGGGAAUCGUGCCUGGAAGCACCCCUCCAAGUGGUGCCCGAGCGCCUCCCUUGUGACCUUGGCAAAGUCGGUGGCUCUCCAAGAAAGAGCCCCCGAGCCCUGCCUGAGGAGGUCGCCGGGCGCGCCUUCCUAUGCGAGAGAGGGUGGCGCUCCCUGAUCGGGCGCAGAUCCUGACGCAACACCUCCGGAGGCGCCUGCCUUCUGGUGACUUGGGCCAGGCGAAGCCUUCUUCUUCUUUGGAGUCGCCUCGGGAAGCCUUCCGCUCCUGUGAUAUGGGUCUUCGAUUGCUGCGGCUUGGAAUGCACGCUCAAGUGAACACACUACGUCCCUUUCUUCACAGGGUACCGUGAUGACUCCACCGCUUCCAGGCAUCUUGAGGACAUUGUAACCAUGGUGAGUCACGGCCAUGAACUUGGCUAGGGCUGGGUACCCGAGGAUGGCGUUGUACGGCAGGCGAAUGUGGGCGACGUCGAAGUCGAUGAGCUCGGUGCGGUAGUUGUUGCGCUGCCCAAAGGUGACUGGAAGGCGAACUUGCCCUAUCGGAACAGUGGAACCAUCAGUGACUCCUGAGAAGGGCUUGGUCGGCUGAAGCUGAUCGUACGGCACUUGGAGAUUGUCGAACGUCUCGACGGACAGGACGUUGAGUCCUGCUCCGCCAUUGAUGAGGGUCCUGGUGACCUGCACAUUGCUGAUGACUGGGGAGCAAAGCAUUGGGAGGACUCCGGCAGUUGCCGCGCACUUGAGCUGAUCCGCUGAGCUGAACGUGAUAGCGCACGCAGACCACCUGAGAGGGCGCGUGGCCUCGAGAUUGGGGAGGACUGCAUUCACCUCGCGAGCAAACUGCUUGAAGCUACGAUGUGAAGCUGGGGCCUGCGCGCCACCCAAGAUGCAAGCGAUUGCGCGCGGCUCCUGGAAGCCCCCAGCCCCCUCGUCUUGAUGCUGGUCUUCGUUCCUCCUUGGCGGUGGCGGCAGAGGAGGAAGGCCUGCGUUGCCGUGCGGGCGAUCCUCACGAGGCUGAUCCCUCCAACCUCCCUCGCGAGGCUGGUCCUGCCAGCGAUCCUCGCGAGGUCGGUCACGCCAUCGAGGGCCACGGUCUUCCCAUCGUCUGCCACCUCUUCCUCCUCCUCGGCCAUAGCCCCUGUCGUUGCGCUCGGGGCGUCGACCGAUUCGCCCAUCUCGCACGGCCUUGAGCUCUUGACAUUCAUUGGUGUUGUGGGUGUGGAGGUCGUGGUACACGCAGUAUCGGCUGCCCUUGGAAGACUCGGGCUGAUCCCUGCCUUGCUUGGUGUCUGGUUCUGCUGCAAGCACGGUAGCCCCCUUGCGCUUCACGUCCUUGGCCUUGAGCUUUUUCUCUUCUGUGUCAGCUGUCGGGAGCUCGAGGAGGGAGAGGCGCCCUUCCUCAGCCCUGGCGCACUUGGUCGCCAAGCUGAACAACUCCAGGGAUGUGCACAGCUCUUCAUGGAUUGCCAGCUCCUCCUUCAUCUUGAUGUCGCGCACGCCAUCGGAGAAGGCUGAGAUGAUGGCUUCUUCAGUUACCCUGUGGAUCCUGAGGCGAGCGCUGUUGAAGCACUGGAUGUACUUCUGCAGGGUUUCCCCUGGCUGCUACUCGAUGCGGCGCAGGUCGCUUACGGCCGGAGGCCGGUCGCGAGUGCCCUGGAAGUUGGCGAUGAAGCGGGUGCGCAUCUCGUCCCAGGAGGAGAUCGUGCCAGGAGCCAGGUUCAGGAGCCAGGUGCAGGCGCCGUCCUUGAGCGCCAUGGGAAACCAGUUCGCCAUGACCUUUUCGUCUCUGUUGGCGGCUUCGAUGCCCAGCUCGUAGAGCUGCAGGAACUCCGCAGGGUCCGCCGUGCCGUCGUAGCGUGGAGGCAGGUCGGGCUUGAACUUGCCUGGCCAUGUGACGCCGCGUAGCUCGGGAGUGAAGGCGCGGCAGCUGGCUGUGGUCGCCAGGGCCCGCCCUGGGGGUGGAGCUUGAUCUUGACGAGGCGCAGGCGCGGCCAAUGCAGGUUGCGCUCGAGCCUGGCGAGGCGGCGCGGGGAGCGCAGGUGCAGCUUCUCAAGGCCGGGGGACUUCUUGGCGGCUUCUUUCUUCGCGUGUGGGCGUCGGGUGUGGCGGAUCAUGCCGCGGAGGCGCGCACCUUGGUGCCAAGGCACCGUCUUGGGGCUGAGGUGGCGGAGGCACGCCAUGAGCCGCAUCGCCCGCGGCUGGUUGAGGAGGAGGCAGAGAGUGGGAUUGCGCCGGAGAUCCCCCUGCAGCGCGGACGAGCUCGGCGACGUGGUCAAGCCACUCCUCGUAGACGUCGUCGACAGGGCCGUAGCGCGGGAGCUCGUUCGCCGCGAGGAGCGUGGCCUGCGCCUCCAAGGGAGCGUGGUACGCGUGGGAUGAAGAACCGGCCGGGGCCAGUGACGGAGUGGCGGUGCGGCCGUCCCGCCGAACCGAUGGGUGCAGAGACGAGGCCUGCUGCUCGUUCCCCACCGGGCCGGUGGCGGGCGUUGGCGCCAGGCGACGAGGAACGAUGAGGGCAUCCGCCGACGGGCGCCGUCUGGGCGACGCGGGUGGCGAGAGCGGCCCGGCGCUCGGCGCGAGCCCGACGAGCGUCAGACAUCGACACGACGGAAGAUCACACGCAAACAGCGGAGGAAAGAUUCCGGCACACCCCUACCUGACGCGCCAAAUGUCGGAUUUCGGGUUCGGGCAGACCCUUAAGGUUCGAACUCUGGGGUGCGCGCGGAGAUCUCUCCCCUACCGAUCUACGUCUGAUCUCCUCGUGCGAUCUAAGCUGGAAAUGAUGAACAACACAAGGGACACGAGAUUUAUACUGGUUCGGGCCACCAUUGUGGUGUAAUACCCUACUCCAGUGUGUGGUGUGGUGGAUUGCCUCAGGGGCUGAUGAUGAACAGUACAAGGGAAGAACAGCCUCGCGAGAGGUGUUCUUGAGCUGGUGCGAUGAACUGCUUGGGUGAGUUCAAUCGUCUCUCUCUCUCUAGAUCUAGAUCUUAUCCCCCUUCUCGAUCUGCUCGUUCUCUUCUUGGACCUCUGAAGGAAAUAUGCCCUAGAGGCAAUAAUAAAGUAUUAUUUAUUUCCUUAUAUCAUGAUAAAUGUUUAUUAUUCAUGCUAGAAUUGUAUUAACCGGAAACAUAAUACAUGUGUGAAUACAUAGACAAACAGAGUGUCACUAGUAUGCCUCUACUUGACUAGCUCGUUAAUCAAAGAUGGUUAUGUUUCCUAGCCAUAGAAAUGAGUUGUCAUUUGAUUAACGGGAUCACCUCAUUAGGAGAACUCAUGUCUCCUAAGGUGACGUGAGUCUAUGUUUAGGAAAUAUUUAACGGGAUCACCUCAUUAUGUUUCCUAGCCAAGGUGACGUGAGUCUCGGUCUAGAUACAUUGACGUCAUUCUCCUAAUGAGGUGAUCCCNNNNNNNNNNNNNNNNNNNNNNNNNNNNNNNNNNNNNNNNNNNNNNNNNNNNNNNNNNNNNNNNNNNNNNNNNNNNNNNNNNNNNNNNNNNNNNNNNNNNNNNNNNNNNNNNNNNNNNNNNNNNNNNNNNNNNNNNNNNNNNNNNNNNNNNNNNNNNNNNNNNNNNNNNNNNNNNNNNNNNNNNNNNNNNNNNNNNNNNNNNNNNNNNNNNNNNNNNNNNNNNNNNNNNNNNNNNNNNNNNNNNNNNNNNNNNNNNNNNNNNNNNNNNNNNNNNNNNNNNNNNNNNNNNNNNNNNNNNNNNNNNNNNNNNNNNNNNNNNNNNNNNNNNNNNNNNNNNNNNNNNNNNNNNNNNNNNNNNNNNNNNNNNNNNNNNNNNNNNNNNNNNNNNNNNNNNNNNNNNNNNNNNNNNNNNNNNNNNNNNNNNNNNNNNNNNNNNNNNNNNNGUCAAUCACGUCAUUCUCCUAAUGAGGUGAUCCCGUUAAUCAAAUGACAACUCAUGUCUAUGGCUAGGAAACAUAACCAUCUUUGAUUAACGAGCUAGUCAAGUAGAGGCAUACUAGUGACACUCUCUUUGUCUAUGUAUUCACACAUGUAUUAUGUUUCCGGUUAAUACAAUUCUAGCAUGAAUAAUAAACAUUUAUCAUGAUAUAAGGAAAUAAAUAAUACUUUAUUAUUGCCUCUAGGGCAUAUUUCCUUCAGAGGUCCAAGAAGAGAACGAGUAGAUCGAGAAGGGGGAUAAGAUCUAGAUCUAGAGAGAGAGAGAGAGAUGAUUGAACUCACCCAAGCAGUUCAUCACACCAGCUCAAGAACACCUCUCGCGAGGCUGUUCUUCCCUUGUAAUGUUCAUCAUCAGCCCCUGAGGCAAUCCACCACACCACACACUAGUGUAGGGUAUUACACCACAAUGGUGGCCCGAACCAGUAUAAAUCUCGUGUCCCUUGUGUUGUUCAUCAUUUCCAGCUUAGAUCGCACAAGGAGAUCGGACGUAGAUCGGUAGGGGAGAGAUCUCCGCGCGCACCCUAGAGUUCGAACCUUAAGGGUCUGCCCGAACCCGAAAUCCGACAUUUGGCGCGUCAGGUAGGGGUGCGCCGGAAUCUUUCCUCCGCUGUUCGCGUGUGAUCUUCCGUCGUGUCGAUGUCUGACGCUCGUCGGGCUCGCGCCGAGCGCCGGGCCGCUCUCGCCACCCGCGUCGCCCAGACGGCGCCCGUCGGCGGACGCCCUCAUCGUUCCCCAUCGCCUGCCGCCAACGCCGCCACCGGCCCGGCGGGGAACGAGCAGCAGGCCUCGUCUCUCCACCCAUCGGUUCGGCGGGACGGCCGCACCGCCACUCCGUCACUGACCCCAGCCGGUUCUUCAUCCCACGCGUACCGCGCUCCCUUGGAGGCGCGGGCCACGCUCCUCGCGGCGAACGAGCUCCCGCGCUACGGCCCUGUCGACGACGUCUACGAGGAGUGGCUUCACCACGUCGCCAAGCUCGUCCGCGCUGCAGGGGGAUCUCCGACGCAAUCCCACUCUCUGCCUCCUCCUCAACCAGCCGCGGGCGAUGCGGCUCAUGGCGUGCCUCCGCCACCUCAGCCCCAAGACGGUUCUUCAUAGUUCGUAGGUUCGCCAUGAUCUAGUAACAUGACUUCCAGAACAGGAUUACCGUACCACUCUGGUGCGGAUCUUGAUCCACUUGACCUACGAAGUUCAGUAAUAACUUGAUCUGAAGUUUCAUGAUCAUUAUCAUUAACUUCCUCACUAAUUGGUGUAGGUGUCGCAGAAACUGAUUUCUGCGAUGAUCUACUUUCCAAUAAGGGAGCAGGUACAGUUACCUCAUCAAGUUCUACUUUCCUCCCACUCACAUCUUUCGAGAGAAACUCCUUCUCUAGAAAGGAUCCAUUCUUAGCAACGAAUAUCUUGCCUUCGGAUCUGUGAUAGAAGGUGUACCCAACAGUCUCCUUUGGGUAUCCUAUGAAGAUACAUUUCUCCGAUUUAGGUUCGAGCUUAUCAGGUUGAAGUUUCUUCACAUAAGCAUCGCAACCCCAAACUUUAAGAUACGACAACUUUGGUUUCUUGCCAAACCAUAGUUCAAAAGGCGUCGUCUCAACGGAUUUCGAUGGUGUCCUAUUUAGAGUGAAUGCAGCCGUCUCUAAAGCAUAACCCCAAAACGAUAGCGGUAAAUCAGUAAGAGACAUCAUAAAUCGCACCAUAUCUAAUAAAGUACGAUUACGACGUUCGGACACACCAUUACGCUGUGGUGUUCCGGGUGGUGUGAGUUGCGAAAUUAUUCCGCAUUGUUUCAAAUGUAGGCCAAACUCGUAACUCAAAUAUUCUCCUCCACAAUCAGAUCGUAGGAAUUUUAUUUUCUUGUUACGAUGGUUUUCAACUUCACUCUGAAAUUCUUUGAACUUUUCAAAUGUUUCAGACUUAUGUUUCAUUAAGUAGAUAUACCCAUAUCUGCUCAAAUCAUCUGUGAAGGUGAGAAAAUAACGAUAUCCGCCACGAGCCUCAAUAUUCAUCGGACCACAUACAUCUGUAUGUAUGAUUUCCAACAAAUCUGUUGCUCUCUCCAUAGUUCCGGAGAAUGGUGUUUUGGUCAUCUUGCCCAUGAGGCACGGUUCGCAAGUACCAAGUGAUUCAAAAUCAAGUGAUUCCAAAAUUCCAUUAGUAUGGAGUUUCUUCAUGCGCUUUACACCGAUAUGACCCAAACGGCAGUGCCACAAAUAAGUUGCACUGUCAUUAUUAACUCUGCAUCUUUUGGCUUCGACAUUAUGAAUAUGUGUAUCACUACUAUCGAGAUUCAUUAAAAAUAGACCACUCUUCAAGGGUGCAUGACCAUAAAAGAUAUUAUUCAUAUAAAUAGAACAACCAUUAUUCUCUAAUUUAAAUGAAUAACGUCUCGCAUUAAACAAGAUCCAGAUAUAAUGUUCAUGCUCAACGCUGGCACCAAAUAACAAUUAUUUAGGUCUAAAACUAAUCCCGAAUGUAGAUGUAGAGGUAGCGUGCCGACGGCGAUCACAUUGACUUUGGAACCAUUUCCCACGCGCAUCGUCACCUCAUCCUUAGCCAAUCUUCGCUUAAUCCGUAGCCCCUGUUUCGAGUUGCAAAUAUAGCAACAGAACCAGUAUCAAAUACCCAGGUGCUACUGCGAGUAUUAGUAAGGUACACAUCAAUAACAUGUAUAUCACAUAUACCUUUGUUAACCUUGCCAUCCUUCUUAUCUGCCAAAUACUUGGGGCAGUUCCGCUUCCAGUGACCAGUCUGCUUACAGUAGAAGCACUCAGUUUCAGGCUUAGGUCCAGACUUGGAUUUCUUCUCCUGAACAGCAACUUGCUUGCUGUUCUUCUUGAAGUUCCUUUUCUUCUUCCCUUUGCCCUUUUUCUUGAAACUAGUGGUUUUACUGACCAUCAACACUUGAUGCUCCUUUUUGAUUUCUACCUCCGCUGCCUUUAGCAUUGCGAAGAGCUCGGGAAUUGUCUUAUCCAUCCCUUGCAUGUUAUAGUUCAUCACGAAGCUCUUGUAGCUUGGUGGCAGUGAUUGAAGAAUUCUGUCAAUGACGCAAUCAUCCGGAAGUUGAACUCCCAGUUGAAUCAAGUGAUUAUUAUACCCAGACAUUCUGAGUAUAUGCUCACUAACAGAACUAUUCUCUUCCAUCUUGCAGCUAUAGAACUUAUUGGAGACUUCAUAUCUCUCAAUCCAGGCAUUUGCUUCAAAUAUUAACUUCAACACCUGGAACAUCUCAUAUGCUCCAUGACGUUCAAAACGUCGUUGAAGGCCCGGUUCUAAGCCGUAAAGCAUGGCACACUGAACUAUUUUGUAGUCAUCAACUUUGCUCUGCCAGACGUUCAUAACUUCUGGCGUAGCUCUUGCAGGAGGCCUGGCACCUAGCGGUGCUUCCAGGAUGUAAUUCUUCUGUGCAGCAAUGAGGAUAAUCCUCAAGUUAUGGACCCAGUCCGUGUAAUUGCUACAAUCAUCUUCCAACUUAGCUUUCUCAAGGAACACAUUAAAAUUCAACGGAACAACAGCACGGGCCAUUUAUCUACAAUUAACAUAGACAAGCAAGAUACUAUCAGGUACUAAGUUCAUGAUAAAUUUAAGUUCAAUUAAUCAUAUUACUUAAGAACUCCCACUUAGAUAGAUAUCCCUCUAAUCAUCUAAGUGAUUACGUGAUCCAAAUCAACUAAACCUUGUCCGAUCAUCACGUGAGAUGGAGUAGUUUCAAUGGUGAACAUCACUAUGUUGAUCAUAUCUACUAUAUGAUUCACGCUCGACCUUUCGGUCUCUGUGUUCCGAGGCCAUAUCUGCAUAUGCUAGGCUCGUCAAGUUUAACCUGAGUAUUCCGCGUGUGCAACUGUUUUGCACCCGUUGUAUUUGAACGUAGAGCCUAUCACACCCGAUCAUCACGUGGUGUCUCAGCACGAAGAACUUUCGCAACGGUGCAUACUCAGGGAGAACACUUUUAUCUUGAAAUUUUAGUGAGAGAUCAUCUUAUAAUGCUACCGUCAAUCAAAGCAAGAUAAGAUGCAUAAAGGAUUAACAUCACAUGCAAUCAAUAUAAGUGAUAUGAUAUGGCCAUCAUCAUCUUGUGCUUGUGAUCUCCAUCCCCGAAGCAACGUGCUUGUGAUCUCCAUCUUCGAAGCACCGUUAUGAUCACCAUCGUUACCGGCGCACCGUGUUCGUGAUCUCCAUCUCCGAAGCACCGUGCCCGUGAUCUCCAUCUCCGAAGCACCGUCAUGAUCACCAUCGUCACCGGCGCGACACCUUGAUCUCCAUCGUAGCAUCGUUGUCAUCUCGCCAACUAUUUGCUUUUACGACUAUCGCUACCGCUUAGUGAUAAAGUAAAACUAUUACACGGCGAUUGCAUCUCAUACAAUAAAGCGACAACCAUAUGGCUCCUGCCAGUUGCCGAUAACUCGGUUACAAAACAUGAUCAUCUCAUACAACAAAUUAUAUCACAUCAUGUCUUGACCAUAUCACAUCACAACAUGCCCUGCAAAAACAAGUUAGACGUCCUCUACUUUGUUGUUGCAAGUUUUACGUGGCUGCUACGGGCUUAGGAAGAACCGUUCUUACCUACGCAUCAAAACCACAACGAUAGUUUGUCAAGUUGGUGUUGUUUUAACCUUCGCAAGGACCGGGCAUAGCCACACUCGGUUCAACUAAAGUGACAGAGAGAGACACCCGCCGGUCACCUUUAAGCAACGAGUGCUCGCAACGGUGAAACCAGUCUCGCGUAAGCGUACGCGUAAUGUCAGUCCGGGCCGCUUCAUCUCACAAUACCGCUGAACCAAAGUAUGACAUGCUGGUAAGCAGUAUGACUUAUAUCGCCCACAACUCACUUGUGUUCUACUCGUGCAUAGCAUCAACGCAUAAAACCUGGCUCGGAUGCCACUGUUGGGGAACGUAGUAAUUUCAAAAAAAAAUCCUACGCACACGCAAGAUCAUGGUGAUGCAUAGCAACGAGAGGGGAGAGUGUUGUCCACGUACCCUCGUAGACCGACAGCGGAAGUGUUAUCACAACGCGGUUGAUGUAGUCGUACGUCUUCAUGAUCCGACCGAUCAAGUACCGGACGCACGGCACCUCCGAAGUUCUACACACGUUCAGCUCGAUGACGUCCCUCAAACUCCGAUCCAGCCGAGUGUUGAGGGAGAGUUUCGUCAGCACGACGGCGUGGUGACGAUGAUGAUGUUCCACCGACGCAGGGCUUCGCCUAAGCUCCGCGACGGUAUUAUCGAGGUGUAAUCUGGUGGAGGGGGGCACCGCACACGGCUAAAAUAUCGUAUAUCAAGUGUGUCCAUGGGGUGCCCCUGCCCCCGUAUGUAAAGGAGCAAGGGAGCAGGAGGCCGGCCCUAGGAGGGGGCGCACCAAGUGUGGAGUCCUACUAGGACUCCCUAGUCCUAGUAGGAUUCCACCUCCCAUAUGGAAUAGGAAAAGAGGAAGGGAAAAAGAGAAGGAAGGAAGGGGGCGCCCCCCAUUCCCUAGUCCAAUUCGGACCAGACCAAGGGGAGGGGUGCGGCCACCCUUGAGGCCCUUUUCCUUCUUUCCCGUAUGGCCCAAUAAGGCCCAAUACGUAUUCCCGUAACUCUCCGGUACUCCGAAAAAUACCCGAAUCACUCGGAACCUUUCCGAAGUCCGAAUAUAGUCGUCCAAUAUAUCGAUCUUUAUGUCUCGACCAUUUCGAGACUCCUCGUCAUGUCCCCGAUCUCAUCCGGGACUCCGAACUCCUUCGGUACAUCAACAUACAUAAACUCAUAAUAAAACUGUCAUUGUAACUUUAAGCGUGCGGACCCUUUGGGUUCGAGAACUAUGUAGACAUGACCGAGACACCUCUCCGGCCAAUAACCAAUAGCGGGACCUGGAUGCCCAUAUUGGCUCCCACAUAUUCUACGAAGAUCUUUAUCGGUCAGACCGCAUAACAACGUACGUUGUUCCCUUUGUCAUCGGUAUGUUACUUGCCCGAGAUUCGAUCGUCGGUAUCUCGAUACCUAGUUCAAUCUCGUUACCGGCAAGUCUCUUUACUCGUUCCAUAAUACAUCAUCCCGCAACUAAAUCAUUAGUCACAAUGCUUGCAAGGCUUAUAGUGAUGUGCAUUACCGAGUGGGCCCAGAGAUACCUCUCCGACAAUCAGAGUGACAAAUCCUAAUCUCGAAAUACGCCAACCCAACAAGUACCUUUGGAGACACCUGUAGAGCACCUUUAUAAUCACCCAGUUACGUUGUGACGUUUGGUAGCACACAAAGUGUUCCUCCGGUAAACGGGAGUUGCAUAAUCUCAUAGUCAUAGGAACAUGUAUAAGUCAUGAAGAAAGCAAUAGCAACAUACUAAACGAUCGAGUGCUAGGCUAACGGAAUGGGUCAAGUCAAUCACGUCAUUCUACUAAUGAGGUGAUCCCGUUAAUCAAAUGACAACUCAUGUCUAUGGCUAGGAAACAUAACCAUCUUUGAUUAACGAGCUAGUCAAGUAGAGGCAUACUAGUGACACUCUGUUUGUCUAUGUAUUCACACAUGUAUUAUGUUUCCGGUUAAUACAAUUCUAGCAUGAAUAAUAAACAUUUAUCAUGAUAUAAGGAAAUAUAUAAUACUUUAUUAUUGCCUCUAGGGCAUAUUUCCUUCAGUCGCGCCGGUGAUGAUGGUGAUCAUGACGGUGCUUCGGAGAUGGAGAUCACGAACACGGUGCUUCGGAGAUGGAGAUCACGAACACGGUGCGCCGGUAACGAUGGUGAUCAUAACGGUGCUUCGAAGAUGGAGAUCACAAGCACGUUGCUUCGGGGAUGGAGAUCACAAGCACAAGAUGAUGAUGGCCAUAUCAUAUCACUUAUAUUGAUUGCAUGUGAUGUUAAUCCUUUAUGCAUCUUAUCUUGCUUUGAUUGACGGUAGCAUUAUAAGAUGAUCUCUCACUAAAAUUUCAAGAUAAAAGUGUUCUCCCUGAGUAUGCACCGUUGCGAAAGUUCUUCGUGCUGAGACACCACGUGAUGAUCGGGUGUGAUAGGCUCUACGUUCAAAUACAACGGGUACAAAACAGUUGCACACGCGGAAUACUCAGGUUAAACUUGACGAGCCUAGCAUAUGCAGAUAUGGCCUCGGAACACAGAGACCGAAAGGUCGAGCAUGAAUCAUAUAGUAGAUAUGAUCAACAUAGUGAUGUUCACCAUUGAAACUACUCCAUCUCACGUGAUGAUUGGACAUGGUUUAGUUGAUUUGGAUCACGUAAUCACUUAGAUGAUUAGAGGGAUAUCUAUCUAAGUGGGAGUUCUUAAGUAAUAUGAUUAAUUGAACUUAAAUUUAUCAUGAACUUAGUACCUGAUAGUAUCUUGCUUGUCUAUGUUAAUUGUAGAUAAAUGGCCCGUGCUAUUGUUCCAUUGAAUUUUAAUGCGUUCCUUGAGAAAGCUAAGUUGAAAGAUGAUGCUAGCAAUUACACGGACUGGGUCCGUAACUUGAGGAUUAUCCUCAUUGCUGCACAGAAGAAUUACAUCCUGGAAGCACUGCUAGGUGCCAGGCCUCCUGUAAGAGAUAUGCCAGAAGUUAUGAACGUCUGGCAGAGCAAAGCUGAUGACUACUCAAUAGUUCAGUGUGCCAUGCUUUACGGCUUAGAAUCGGGCCUUCAAUGACGUUUUGAACGUCAUGGAGCAUAUGAGAUGUUCCAGGAGUUGAAGUUAAUAUUUCAAGCAAAUGCCCGGAUUGAGAGAUAUGAAGUCUCCAAUAAGUUCUAUAGCUGCAAGAUGGAAGAGAAUAGUUCUGUCAGUGAGCAUAUACUCAGAAUGUCUGGGUAUAAUAAUCACUUGAUUCAACUGGGAGUUCAACUUCCGGAUGAUUGCGUCAUUGACAGAAUUCUUCAAUCACUGCCACCAAGCUACAAGAGCUUCGUGAUGAACUAUAACAUGCAAGGGAUGGAUAAGACAAUUCCCGAGCUCUUCGCAAUGCUAAAGGCAGCGGAGGUAGAAAUCAAAAAGGAGCAUCAAGUGUUGAUGGUCAGUAAAACCACUAGUUUCAAGAAAAAGGGCAAAGGGAAGAAGAAAAGGAACUUCAAGAAGAACAGCAAGCAAGUUGCUGUUCAGGAGAAGAAAUCCAAGUCUGGACCUAAGCCUGAAACUGAGUGCUUCUACUGUAAGCAGACUGGUCACCGGAAGCGGAACUGCCCCAAGUAUUUGGCGGAUAAGAAGGAUGGCAAGGUUAACAAAGGUAUAUGUGAUAUACAUGUUAUUGAUGUGUACCUUACUAAUACUCGCAGUAGCACCUAGGUAUUUGAUACUGGUUCUGUUGCUAAUAUUUGCAACUCGAAACAGGGGCUACGGAUUAAGCGAAGAUUGGCUAAGGAUGAGGUGACGAUGCGCGUGGGAAAUAGUUCCAAAGUCGAUGUGAUCGCCGUCGGCACGCUACCUCUACAUCUACCUUUGGGAUUAGUUUUAGACCUAAAUAAUUGUUAUUUGGUGCCAGCGUUGAGCAUGAACAUUAUAUCUGGAUCUUGUUUAAUGCGAGACGUUAUUCAUUUAAAUCAGAGAAUAAUGGUUGUUCUAUUUAUAUGAAUAAUAUCUUUUAUGGUCAUGCACCCUUGAAGAGUGGUCUAUUUUUAAUGAAUCUCGAUAGUAGUGAUACACAUAUUCAUAAUGUCGAAGCCAAAAGAUGCAAAGUUAAUAAUGACAGUGCAACUUAUUUGUGGCACUGCUGUUUGGGUCAUAACGGUGUAAAGCGCAUGAAGAAACUCCAUACUAAUGGAAUUUUGGAAUCACUUGAUUUUGAAUCACUUGGUACUUGCGAACCGUGCCUCAUGGGCAAGAUGACCAAAACACCGUUCUCCGGAACUAUGGAGAGAGCAACAGAUUUGUUGGAAAUCAUACAUACAGAUGUAUGUGGUCCAAUGAAUAUUGAGGCUCGUGGCGGAUAUCGUUAUUUUCUCACCUUCACAAAUGAUUUGAGCAGAUAUGGGUAUAUCUACUUAAUGAAACAUAAGUCUGAAACAUUUGAAAAGUUCAAAGAAUUUCAGAGUGAAGUUGAAAACCAUUGUAACAAGAAAAUAAAAUUCCUACGAUCUGAUCGUGGAGGAGAAUAUUUGAGUUACGAGUUUGGCCUACAUUUGAAACAAUGCGGAAUAGUUUCGCGACUCACGCCACCCGGAACACCACAGCGUAAUGGUGUGUCCGAACGUCGUAAUCGUACUUUAUUAGAUAUGGUGCAAUUUAUGAUGUCUCUUACUGAUUUACCGCUAUCGUUUUGGGGUUAUGCUUUAGAGACGGCUGCAUUCACUCUAAAUAGGACACCAUCGAAAUCCGUUGAGACGACGCCUUUUGAACUAUGGUUUGGCAAGAAACCAAAGUUGUCGUAUCUUAAAGUUUGGGGUUGCGAUGCUUAUGUGAAGAAACUUCAACCUGAUAAGCUCGAACCUAAAUCGGAGAAAUGUGUCUUCAUAGGAUACCCAAAGGAGACUGUUGGGUACACCUUCUAUCACAGAUCCGAAGGCAAGAUAUUCGUUGCUAAGAAUGGAUCCUUUCUAGAGAAGGAGUUUCUCUCGAAAGAUGUGAGUGGGAGGAAAGUAGAACUUGAUGAGGUAACUGUACCUGCUCCCUUAUUAGAAAGUAGAUCAUCGCAGAAAUCAGUUUCUGUGACACCUACACCAAUUAGUGAGGAAGUUAAUGAUAAUGAUCACGAAACUUCAGAUCAAGUUAUUACUGAACUUCGUAGGUUAACUAGAUCAAGAUCCACACCAGAGUGGUACGGUAAUCCUGUUCUGGAGGUCAUGUUACUAGAUCAUGGCGAACCUACAAACUAUGAAGAAGCAAUGGUGAGCCCAGAUUCCGCAAAAUGGCUUGAAGCCAUGAAAUCCGAGAUGGGAUCCAUGUAUGAGAACAAACUAUGGACUUUGGUUGACUUGCCCGAUGGUCGGCAAGACAUUGAAAACAAAUGGAUCUUCAAGAAGAAGACUGACGCUGAUGGUAAUGUUACUGUCUAUAAAGCUUGACUUGUUGCGAAAGGUUUUCGACAAGUUCAAGGGAUUGACUACGAUGAGACCUUCUCACCCGUAGCGAUGCUUAAGUCUGUCCGAAUCAUGUUAGCGAUUGCCGCAUUUUAUGAUUAUGAAAUUUGGCAAAUGGAUGUCAAAACUGCAUUCCUGAAUGGAUUUCUGGAAGAAGAGUUGUAUAUGAUGCAACCGGAAGGUUUUGUCGAUCCAAAGGGAGCUAACAAAGUGUGCAAGCUCCAGCGAUCCAUUUAUGGACUGGUGCAAGCCUCUCGGAGUUGGAAUAAACGCUUUGAUAGUGUGAUCAAAGCAUUUGGUUUUAUACAGACUUUUGGAGAAGCCUGUAUAUACAAGAAAGUGAGUGGGAGCUCGAUAGCAUUUCUGAUAUUAUAUGUGGAUGACAUAUUACUGAUUGGAAAUGAUAUAGAAUUUCUGGAUAGCAUAAAGGGAUACUUGAAUAAGAGUUUUUCAAUGAAAGACCUCGGUGAAGCUGCAUAUAUAUUAGGCAUAAAGAUCUAUAGAGAUAGAUCAAGAUGCUUAAUUGGACUUUCACAAAGCACAUACCUUGACAAAGUUUUGAAGAAGUUCAAAAUGGAUCAAGCAAAGAAAGGGUUCUUGCCUAUACUACAAGGUGUGAGAUUGAGUAAGACUCAAUGCCCGACCAUUGCAGAAGAUAGAGAGAAGAUGAAAGAUGUUCCCUAUGCUUCAGCCAUAGGCUCUAUCAUGUAUGCAAUGCUGUGUACCAGACCUGAUGUGUCCCUUGCUAUAAGUUUAGCAGGGAGGUACCAAAGUAAUCCAGGAGUGGAUCACUGGACAGCGGUCAAGAACAUCCUGAAAUACCUGAAAAGGACUAAGGAUAUGUUUCUCAUUUAUGGAGGUGACAAAGAGCUCAUCGUAAGAGGUUACGUUGAUGCAAGCUUUGACACUGAUCCGGACGAUUCGAAAUCGCAAACCGGAUACGUAUUUACAUUGAACAGUGGAGCUGUCAGUUGGUGCAGUUCUAAGCAAAGUGUCGUGGCGGGAUCUACGUGUGAAGCGGAAUACAUAGCUCCUUUGGAAGCAGCAAAUGAAGGAGUCUGGAUGAAGGAGUUCAUAUCCGAUCUAGGUGUCAUACCUAGUACAUCGGGACCAAUGAAAAUCUUUGUAACAUCCCAAAAUUCUAAAUUUUGGAAUGUUAUAAUAAACAGAUAGAUUGGAUUGAUUGUUUGAUUGAUUGACUGAAAGUGAGUGGAAUUCAAAACUUUUUGAAAGUUAAAUGAGAGGGAAUAAAAGGACUUUCCCAAACUUUCAUUUUGCUUUUGUGAUCUCCAUGAAUUCAAAUUCUUUUCACCACAAAACCCUGGAGAGAAGAUGACAUGACUUCUUCCAUUUAUUUAAAUGACAAGGGGUGUUGAAAAUAUUUGAAAUUUCAUUUGAAAAUAUUCCCAAUGCUGAAACUUUAUGCAACUCAAUGAUUUUCACGAGAGAAGAUAAAAUGACUUCUUCAAAACAUAUGAAAUAUGAGUUGGGAGUUUCAAAGGAUUAAAUUCAAAGUCCCAUUGAAAUUAUUUUCCAAUAUUGGAGUUAUUUGAGUUUUAUUCAAAUUAUUUUUCUCCAAAAUAAAAUAUACAGAAAAUAGGGUAACAUGAUUCCCUACAUUAGAAAAUUGGAGAGAAAUAAAUUUGAAAUCAUUUUGGUAUUUUUAAAAUGAUUUUAUUGGAUUUUAUAAAGGCAGUAGCACUCUUUGUUUUAUUUAAAUUUGUGAGGAUUUUAUUCGACUUCACAAAAAUGUUCACCUUGUAGGAAAUUUUUUCCUGAAAAUUUGGAUAUAUUAUAUGCCUAUAUAAUAUUUUUUAUUAUUUUUGUUUUUCUAGAAAAAUGUUUAUAAAAAAAACUUCUCCCCGAACUGGGCCGGCCCAGCUCCGCGCCGCCUCGCCCGUCGUCCCCGACCGGGACUCCUCCCGGAGUUCGGCGCCGUCCCGCCACCGGCCGCCCCCUUCCCCACGCCACCGCCCUCCCCUGGCCCUUUAAAAGGCGGGCCCCGACUCCGCCGCCUCUCCCCCUCUGGUCGCGCCGCCGCCGCCGGCGAGAUCCGCCGAGCUCCGCCGCCCGAAGCCACCACUCUCGCCGCCGACGACCGCCGUCGUCGCCGCCACCGCACCCACCGCUCCACGCCGCCUCCUCCCUUGCCUUUCGCGGCCUUCCCCGACGACCGGAGCCACCGGACCCGAGCCGCCGCCGCCGCGUCGCUCCGCCUCACCGCCGCACUUCGCCGGGAACCGCCGCCGCCGCCAGUUUAUUUGCCCGAGCCGGUAAAACCCUUAAAACCGCCCGGUCCGGUUUAUUCUUUUAGGCUUUCUGCGGUUUUUCCUUUUAGCCGGUUUUGUUUUUUUUAGAUUAGUUAUUUAAUGAACGUUUUCUGUUUAGGUAGUUCUAGUGAACAGAUUCGUUAGAUAGCGUUCGGUAACGAACGUUCAUUAUUUAGUUUUUUUUCCUGUUUAUUUUUCGCCAGGGACUUAUCUGUGAUGAUUUUAUUUAUAGUUUAGUCCCUGUUCUUCAAACGGUCACAACUUUUUGCUCGUUUGUUCAAAUCCAACGAAACCAAUGCCCACUUCUUCGUUAUGAUCCCCUCUAUCCAGUAAAACAACUUAAACAUGUUUUUGAAAAUUUAAAAUUGGUUUUCAAACAGAUUUGAAUUUGAAUCUUCUUUUGAUCAUAACUUGAGUUUUAUAACUCCGUUUUAGUUGAUUCUUUUUGCUAUUCGAAGCUCUUGACCUAAACUUUCUGAUAAGGCCAAAUGCACAUAAUUUUGGUACUGUUAGAAAUUGUUUUGUGUUGCAAGAGUUAUUUGCUUUCUUUUGAUGUUCUCCGAAGUAUCUUUUUCGUUCUUCUCGAUCUUUUGAGUGAUUGCUUAUGUGUGGUUACUAUUGCUUGCUUACGAUAGAUUGACGGAGUGUGACGAGUAGAUCUAUCAAGAGUUUUGAGUGCGAAUCAUCUUCAUCAACAUUGCAGGCAAGUUCACACUUUGAUCAUAUCCCUUUCAUACCUAGUUUUUAUGCAUUAGAUUCAACCCUCAAACAUUGCAUGGUUAGGACCUAACUAAAUUGUGGGUUUUGGGAAGUAGUUGAGGUAGUACCUAUUACCUAUUUUAUUAUCAAACCCUUGGGAGUUACUUCUACGUUUGCUUAUAUUGCUAUGCUAUGCUCGUAGACGUGGAUUGGGUUUGAGAGAUAUUCAUGACAGAUGUGAGAUUGUUAAUAAUGGUUUACUUAAGGUGGCAACUUAAACACACAUCUGGGUGGAUUGAGGUACCUGGGUAUUCCAGGAUUGCCUGUUUUUCUUUUGGACCGCCACCCAGGUUCAAAGGGAUCAUGAGAUUAUUCAUGCUAGAAACUUCCGUGUGCAGCCGCAAGCUAUUAUGGGCUCUAGCAUAGUUGAUUAAGUCGUGUGAACUCUUACAGUGGUAGACUAGCAGAUGUAGGGGAUGUAGGUGUACCGGUCUACCCAUCGUAAGGUGCUAACGCUUCUGAAAGACUGUGUCUCGGUCAUCCGUUUCUCAAACACCUUGUAGUGCGAGAAAUCCAACGAAGGAGAUCGAGUCUUGUGGGGAAAAGUGCACAAACCUCUGCAGAGUGUACAAACUAAUCAUGAUUAGCCGUGUCCCCGGUUAUGGACAUCCUGAGUAUCUAGUUCUUGGAUUAUCCCGUUGAUCUCAUCAUGUUACUUUAAUUAAUCUUGUUGGGUUAAUGAUGAUACUUAAUUGGGAUUGAGAUGCUGUCAACCAUCUCAAUGUUUCACAACCACCAUGAUAGUUAAAUAAAAUUUAUUCCUUUGCAGUAGGGAAAAAUUGGCUUUUCGCAAAACUGUAACCAUAGAGCUUUUCCACCAGCCCUAUAUGCAUGUAGUGAUAGCCUUUGUUCAUCAUUUCUCCAUGGUGUGAAUUUGCCAGCAUAUUCCAUGUGCUGACCCGUUUUCGGGCUGCAACGUUUCAUGUUGCAGGAUAUCUUACGACGAGUAAGUGAUUCGUUAGGGUUACGAUUUCUACACUCAACUUUGCCGUUGGUGUUGAUGGGAAUCCACAACCUUGUUACUUUCGCUAUUUUGGAUUGAGGUAAUAGUAUUUACGUAACUUUAUACAUGUGAUUUACCUCUGUUAUAAAUCCUCGAGUACUGUGUGUGUCAGCAUACCGAUCCAGGGAUGACACUUAAGCACAGAGACUUGAUCCAUUCGGGUCGGGUCGCUACAAUCUUUUGUGACAAUACUGGUGCAAUUGCCUUAGCAAAGGAAUCCAGAUUUCACAAGAGAACCAAGCACAUCAGAAGAAGCUUCAAUUCCAUCCGGUAUUUAGUCCAGGUGGGAGACAUAGAAAUUUGCAAGAUACAUACGGAUCUGAAUGUUGCAGACCCGCUGACUAAGCCUCUUCCACGAGAAAAACAUGAUCAGCACCAAGACUCCAUGGGUGUGAGAAUCAUUAGUGUGUAAUCUAGAUUAUUGACUCUGGUGCAAGUGGGAGACUGAAGGAAAUAUGCCCUAGAGGCAAUAAUAAAGUAUUAUUUAUUUCCUUAUAUCAUGAUAAAUGUUUAUUAUUCAUGCUAGAAUUGUAUUAACCGGAAACAUAAUACAUGUGUGAAUACAUAGACAAACAGAGUGUCACUAGUAUGCCUCUACUUGACUAGCUCGUUAAUCAAAGAUGGUUAUGUUUCCUAGCCAUAGACAUGAGUUGUCAUUUGAUUAACGGGAUCACCUCAUUAGGAGAAUGACGUGAUUGACAUGACCCAAUCCGUUAGCUUAGCACCCGAUCGUUUAGUAUGUUGCUAUUGCUUUCUUCAUGACUUAUACAUGUUCCUAUGACUAUGAGAUUAUGCAACUCCCGUUUACCGGAGGAACACUUUGUGUGCUACCAAACGUCACAACGUACCUGGGUGAUUAUAAAGGUGCUCUACAGGUGUCUCCAAAGGUACUUGUUGGGUUGGCGUAUUUCGAGAUUAGGAUUUGUCACUCCGAUUGUCGGAGAGGUAUCUCUAGGCCCACUCGGUAAUGCACAUCACUAUAAGCCUUGCAAGCAUUGUAACUAAUGAGUUAGUUGCAGGAUGAUGUAUUACGGAACAAGUAAAGAGACUUGCCGGUAACGAGAUUGAACUAGGUAUCGAGAUACCGACGAUCGAAUCUCGGGCAAGUAACAUACCGAUGACAAAGGGAACAACGUAUGUUGUUAUGCGGUCUGACCGAUAAAGAUCUUCGUAGAAUAUGUGGGAGCCAAUAUGGGCAUCCAGGUCCCGCUAUUGGUUAUUGACCGGAGAGGUGUCUCGGUCAUGUCUACAUAGUUCUCGAACCCGAAGGGUCCGCACGCUUAAAGUUACGAUGACAGUUAUAUUAUGAGUUUAUAUGUUUUGAUGUACCGAAGGUUGUUCGGAGUCCCGGAUGUGAUCACGGACAUGACGAGGAGUCUCGAAAUGGUCGAAAAAUAAAGAUUGAUAUAUUGGACGACUAUAUUCGGAUACCGGAAGUGUUCCGGAGAAGUUUCGGAUUAAACCGGAGUGCCGGAGGGUUACCGGAACCCCCCGGGGAAGUAUUGGGCCUUAGUGGGCCUUGGGGGGAGAGAGAGGGCAGCAGCCAGGAGGUGGCGCACCCCCUCCCAGGAGGAGUCCUAGUUGGACUAGGAGAGGGGGGCGCAGCCCCCUUUCCCUCUCCCUCUCCCUCUCUUUCCUUCCCCUCUUCUUUUCCUAGUAGGACUAGGAAAGGGGAGUCCUACUCCUACUAGGAGGAGGACUCCCCCCCUCUCCUUGGCGCGCCCAUAGGCAGUCGGCCUCCCCCUUGCUCCUUUAUAUACGGGGGCAGGGGGGCACCUCUCUACACACUGGAUAUACGAUAUUUUAGCCGUGUGCGGUGCCCCCCUCCACCAUAUUACACCUCGAUAAUACCGUUGCGGAGCUUAGGCGAAGCCGUGCGUCGGUGGAACAUCAUCAUCGUCACCACGCCGUCGUGCUGACGAAACUCUCCCUCAACACUCGGCUGGAUCGGAGUUCAAGGGACGUCAUCGAGCUGAACGUGUGUAGAACUUGGAGGUGCCGUACGUUCGGUACUUGAUCGGUCGGAUCAUGAAGACGUACGACUACAUCAACCGCGUUGUGAUAACGCUUCCGCUGUUGGUCUACGAGGGUACGUGGACAACACUCUCCCCUCUUGUUGCUAUGCAUCACCAUGAUCUUGCGUGUGCGUAGGAAAUUUUUUGAAAUUACUACGUUCCCCAACAACCUCUCUUUUCUCGAUCUCUCCUUCGACCUCCCUCUGUGGUGGCUAGCUCUAUUUAUAGAGGCCCUGGGCCUCUCCCCAAAUAAUGAGCGGGAAGGGCGCCAACAAUUGGCCAUUUUGAAGGGGAACAUCUAGUACAAGUUAUCCUGACCAAAGGUGGUCUUCGGCUGCCAAAAGCACUGGUGAUGAUGCCGUCUUGGGCUCCACGACGACCUCCGUCCUACCGCUCUGCUGGUCUUGGUCUCGUUGCACCGGAAUGGUAACCUUUGCCCGAUGCCUUGGCCUGUGCUUGCCCCCUUUGCACCAAAGGGGAAACAAGGACACUGCGCAGGGCGGCGCCCGCCUGGCGCCCGCCUGGUCUCGAUCGUCAUGGCUUGCGUCACGGGCUCCUCGCGAGGUAUCCCUGCCUUGAUCUCUCCGCCUUCCUCGCGAGCCUGCCUGAUGAGGCUGCCCUUAGGGAAGCUUCCUGUCGUCCGCCCCGCGAUGGUCUUGAGCUUGAGCUGAUGAAGAUGGGCCGCGCUGGGCCCCCACUUGAGCCACGCCGCAGGCCGCAGGCAGGCAAGUCUGGGGACCCCCGUUCCCAGAACGCCGACAAAUUUGGCUAGCAUGAGAGGGAAAGGCAAGCUCAACAUGUUGGAUGAUCCAUGACAAUGUACUUUAUUUCGGAUAUAAGAAAACAUAACCCAUUACGUUGUCUUCCUUGUCCAACAUCAACCCUUUAGCAUGUCAUAUUUUAAUGAGUGCUCACAAUCAUAAAAGAUGUCCAAGAUAGUAUAUUUAUAUGUGAAAACCUCUCUUUCUUUAUUACCUCCUAUUAAUUGCAAUGAUGACCAAAACUAUGUUUGACAACUCUCAACAACUUUUAUUCACCAUACCCAUUAUAUGUGAAGUCAUUACUCUUCAUAAGAUCAACAUGAUCUCUUUUAUUUCUUUUUAUUCUUUCUUUUUCUUUUAUUCACUCAAGAUCAUAGCAAGAUAAUCAAGCCCUUGACUCAACACUAUUCUUUAUUAUAUAUAGCUCAUGGACUCGAUUACAUAGAAGGAUCAUAAAGCAAAACUCAAAACUAGAUCAUACUAAAACUUUAUUCUACUAGAUCAAGAUAUUACUAAAAGGAUCGAACUAAGAAAAAACGGUAAAGAUAGGAGUGUGAUGGUGAUACGAUACCGGGGCACCUCCCCCAAGCUUGGCAGUUGCCAAGGGGAGUGCCCAUACCCAUGUGAUUAUGCCUCCUUCCUUGGAAGUUGUGGUGAUGGGGUUGUUGAUGAUGUAGGCUUGUCGUCCAUCUUCCAAGGCAUAGGCUCACCAUCACAGAAGGAUGAUCGAGUCUCCGGGAUCCUUAAAUCUGUAGCCAAACUCAUCCUCUUGAAUCUAUAUUCAUACUCAUAGUUUUGGUUUUGCAGGUCAUAGAUCUGGGCUUGGAGGUGCUCGAUUUUCUCAUGAAGCUUGAAGAUGGCCUCCCCAAUGUCCUUGGCGUCCAGCUUGUGGUUGUUGGUAAACUCCGUGAUCAUUAUGUGAUUGGAGUCGAGUCCACGCUCCACCAUCUACUGACACUUGAAAACUUGUUGCUCCAUUGCCUCAAGCCUUGUCUCCACGCUUCCGGUUCUCCUUGGUCCCUCAACAUCGCGGAUGUGUAGCAACCCAUCACGCAUCUCAAUGGUUUGAGAGUGUUGCAACACCUCCGUGAGGUAGGGGUUGAUGACCUUCUCGAAGAACUUGUCCUUGGGGGCGCUUGGAGACGUCAUGGUGACCUGGAUCUGUCAGAAAAUAGCUCGAAACGAAAACAGAGGAUAUUUGCAUGAUACGGUGGUCAAAACCUUCGGGAGAUUAUAUAAUGAAUUUUUACCGACCAUAAGAAGUAUCGUGCAAGAAAACGGAGUCCGGAGAGCACACGAGGUGCCCACGAGGCAGGGGGCGCGCCCAGGGGGGUAGGGCGCGCCUCCCACCCUCGUGGAAGCCUCGUGUUCUUCCCGGACUACUUCUUAUUUUCCUAUUUUCUUAAAUAUUCCAAAACGGAGAAAAAUUGCCAUUAGAGCUGUUUUGGAGUUGGUUUACUUACCGUACCAUGUACCUAUUCCCUUUCAGAGUCUGAAACAUUCCGGAAAGUGUCCCUUAUGUAUUCCUCCGGGGUUACGGUUUCAAUAACAUUAGUUUCAACAUUUAUGGGAUUACCUGAGAUAUAGUGUUUGAUUCUUUGACCGUUUACCACCUUCGGAUUUGUGCCUUCGAAGUUAUUGAUUUUUAUGCCACCGGAACGAUAGACCUCCUCGAUAACAUAAGGACCUUCCCAUUUAGAGAGAAGUUUUCCUGCAAAAAAUCUUAAACGAGAGUUGAAUAGCAACACAUAAUCACCUACAUCAAACUCACGCUUUUGUAUCCUUUUGUCAUGCCAUAUUUUACUUUUUCCUUAAACAAUUUGGCAUUCUCAUAGGCUUGGGUUCUCCAUUCAUCAUAGACAUACCCAUAGGAUUUUUGUAUGCAGUUCUAUAUGCCCACAAUGCAUCAUCAAGUUUCUUGGACCAAUUCUUUCUAGAUCUAUUAACAGUCUUUUGCAAAAUUAAUUUGAGCUCUCUAUUACUCAAUUCUACUUGCCCACUAGACUGCGGAUGAUACGGAGAUGCAAUUCUAUGAUUAACAUCAUAUUUAGCAAGCAUUUUACGAAAAGCACCAUGAAUAAAAUGUGAACCACCAUCAGUCAUUAAAUAUCUAGGGACUCCAAACCUCGGAAAAAUAACUUCUUUAAGCAUCUUAACAGAGGUGUUAUGAUCAGCACUACUAGUUGGAAUAGCUUCUACCCACUUAGUAACGUAAUCAACAGCAACUAAAAUAUGUGUAUACCCAUUAGAGGAAGGAAACGGUCCCAUAUAAUCAAAGCCCCAAACAUCGAAUGGUUCAAUAACAAGCGAAUAAUUCAUAGGCAUCUCUUGAAGUCUACUAAUAUUACCAAUUCUUUGACAUUCAUCACAAGACAAGACAAACUUACGGGCAUCUUUGAAGAGAGUAGGCCAAUAAAAACCGGGUUGCAAUACCUUAUGUGCAGUUCUAUCUCCAGCGUGGUGUCCUCCAUAAGCUUUGGAGUGACACUUGCGUAGGAUCUGUUCCUGUUCAUGCUUAGGUAUACAACGUCUAAUAACACCAUCUACUCCUUUAUAAAGGUGUGGGUCAUCCCAGAAGUAAUGUCUUAAAUCAUAGAAAAACUUUUUCUUUUGCUGUUAUGUGAAACUAGGUGGUAUUGAAGGAAAUAUGCCCUAGAGGCAAUAAUAAAGUUAUUAUUUAUUUCCUUAUAUCAUGAUAAAUGUUUAUUAUUCAUGCUAGAAUUGUAUUAACCGGAAACAUAAUACUUGUGUGAAUACAUAGACAAACAGAGUGUCACUAGUAUGCCUCUACUUGACUAGCUCGUUGAUCAAAGAUGGUUAUGUUUCCUAGCCAUAGACACGAGUUGUCAUUUGAUUAACGGGAUCACAUCAUUAGAAGAAUGAUGUGAUUGACUUGACCCAUUCCAUUAGCUUAGCACACGAUUGUUUAGUAUUCUGCUAUUCCUUUCUUCAUGACUUAUACAUGUUCCUAUGACUAUGAGAUUAUGCAACUCCUGUUUACCGGAGGAACACUUUGUGUGCUACCAAAUGUCACAACGUAACUGGGUGAUUAUAAAGGUGCUCUACAGGUGUCUCCGAAGGUACUUGUUGGGUUGGCGUAUUUCGAGAUUAGGAUUUGUCACUCCGAUUGUCGGAGAGGUAUCUCUGGGCCCACUCGGUAAUGCACAUCACUUAAGCCUGCAAACAUUGCAGCUAAUGAGUUAGUUGCGGGAUGAUGUAUUACGGAAUGAGUAAAGAGACUUGCCGAUAACGAGAUUGAACUAGGUAUUGAGAUACCGACGAUCGAAUCUCGGGCAAGUAACAUACUGAUGACAAAGGGAACGACGUAUGUUGUUAUGCGGUUUGACCGAUAAAGAUCUUCGUAGAAUAUGUGGGAGCCAAUAUGAGCAUCCAGGUUCCGCUAUUGGUUAUUGGCCGGAGACGUGUCUCGGUCAUGUCUACAUAGUUCUCGAACCCAUAGGGUCCGCACGCUUAAAGUUUCGAUGACGGUUAUAUUAUGAGUUUAUAUGUUUUGAUGUACCGAAGGUAGUUCGGAGUCCCGGAUGUGAUCACGGACAUGACGUCGAGUCUCGAAAUGGUCGAGACAUGAAGAUUGAUAUAUUGGACGACUAUAUUCGGACACCGGAAUGGUUCCGGGGGUUAUCGGAUAUAUACCGGAGUACCGGGAGGUUACCGGAACCCCCCGGGGGAUUAAUGGGCCUUCAUGGGCCUUAGUGGAGAAGAGGAGAGGCGGCUAGGGCAGGCCGCGCGCCCCCUCCCCUCUAGUCCGAAUUGGACAAGGAGGGGGGCGGCGCCCCCCCUUUCCUUCCUCUCUCUCUCUCCUCUUUCCCCCUUCUCCUAAUCCAACAAGGAAGGGAGGGAGUCCUACUCCCGGUAGGAGUAGGACUCCUCCUGGCGCGCCCCUCUCCUGGCCGGCCGCCUCUCCCCCCUUGCUCCUUUAUAUACGGGGGCAGGGGGCAUCCUAGAGACACAACAACUGAUCAUUGAUCUUUUUAGCCGUGUGCGGUGCCCCCCUCCACCAUAGUCCACCUUGAUAAUAUCGUAGCGGUGCUUAGGCGAAGCCCUGCGUCGAUAGAACAUCAUCAUCGUCACCACGCUGUCGUGCUGACGAAACUCUCCCUCAACACUCGGCUGGAUCGGAGUUCGAGGGACGUCAUCGGGCUGAACGUGUGCUGAACUCGGAGGUGACGUGCGUUUGGUACUUGAUCGGUCGGAUCGUGAAAACGUACGACUACAUCAACCGCGUUGUGCUAACGCUUCCGCUUUCGGUCUACGAGGGUACGUGGACACACUCUCCCCUCUCGUUGCUGUGCAUCACCAUGAUCUUGCGUGUGCGUAGGAAUUUUUUUGAAAUUACUACGUUCCCCAACGGUGGCAUCCGAGCCAGGUUUUAUGCGUUGAUGUUAUUUGCACGAGUAGAACACAAGUGAGUUGUGGGCGAUACAAGUCAUACUGCUUACCAGCAUGUCAUACUUUGGUUCAGCGGUAUUGUUGGAUGAAGCGGCCCGGACCGACAUUACGCGUACGCUUACGCGAGACUGGUUCUACCGACGUGCUUUGCACAUAGCUGGCUGGCGGGUGUCAGUUUCUCCAACUUUAGUUGAACCGCGUGUGGCUACGCCCGGUCCUUGAGAAGGUUAAAACAGCACUAACUUGACGAACUAUCGUUGUGGUUUUGAUGCGUAGGUAAGAACGGUUCUUGCUAAGCCCGUAGCCGCCACGUAAAACUUGCAACAACAAAGUAGAGGACGUCUAACUUGUUUUUGCAGGGCAUGUUGUGAUGUGAUAUGGUCAAGGCAUGAUGCUAAAUUUUAUUGUAUGAGAUGAUCAUGUUUUGUAACCGAGUUAUCGGCAACUGGCAGGAGCCAUAUGGUUGUCGCUUUAUUGUAUGCAAUGCAAUCGCCCCGUAAUGCUUUACUUUAUCACUAAGCGGUAGCGAUAGUCGUAGAAGCAUAAGAUUGGCGAGACGACAACGAUGCUAUGAUGGAGAUCAAGGUGUCGCGCUGGUGACUAUGGUGAUCAUGACGAUGCUUCGGAGAUGGAGAUCACAAGCACAAGAUGAUGAUAGCCAUAUCAUAUCACUUAUAUUGAUUGCAUGUGAUGUUUAUCUUUUAUGCAUCUUAUCUUGCUUUGAUUGACGGUAGCAUUAUAAGAUGAUCUCUCACUAAAUUAUCAAGGUAUAAGUGUUCUCCCUGAGUAUGCACCGUUGCAAAAGUUCUUCGUGCUGAGACACCACGUGAUGAUCGGGUGUGAUAGGCUCUACGUUCAAAUACAACGGGUGCAAAACAGUUGCACACGCGGAAUACUCAGGUUAAACUUGACGAGCCUAGCAUAUAACAGAUAUGGCCUCGGAACACGGAGACCGAAAGGUCGAGCAUGAAUCAUAUAGUAGAUAUGAUCAACAUAGUGAUGUUCACCAUUGAAACUACUCCAUCUCACGUGAUGAUCGGACAAGGUUUAAUUGAUAUGGAUCACGUGAUCACUUAGAGGAUUAGAGGGAUGUCUAUCUAAGUGGGAGUUCUUAAGUAAUAUGAUUAAUUUAACUUAAAUUUAUCAUGAACUUAGUACCUGAUAGUAUCUUGCUUGUCUAUGUUGUUGUAGAUAGAUGGCCCGUGCUGUUGUUCCGUUGAAUUUUAAUGCGUUCCUUGAGAAAGCAAAGUUGAAAGAUGAUGGUAGCAAUUACACGGACUGGGUACAUAACUUGAGGAUUAUCCUCAUUGUUGCACAGAAAAAUUACAUCCUGGAAGCACCGCUAGGUGUACCACCUGCGCCAGCAACUGCAGACAUUGUGAAUGCCUGGCAGUCACGUGUUGAUGCCUACUCGAUAGUUCAGCGUGCCAUGCUUUACGACUUAGAACCGGGACUUCAACGACGUUUUGAACGUCAUGGAGCAUAUGAGAUGUUCCGGGAGUUGAAGUUAAUAUUUCAAGCAAAUGCCCGGAUUGAGAGAUAUGAAGUCUCCAAUAAAUUCUACAGCUGCAAGAUGGAGGAGAAUAGUUCUGUCAGUGAGCAUAUACUCAGAAUGUCUGGGUACUGCAAUCACUUGAUUCAACUGGGAGUUAAUCUUCCGGAUGAUAGCGUCAUUGACAGAAUUCUUCAAUCACUGCCACCAAGCUACAAGAGCUUCGUGAUGAACUAUAACAUGCAAGGAAUGGAUAAGACGAUUCCCGAGCUCUUCGCAAUGCUAAAGGCUGCGGAGGUAGAAAUCAAGAAGGAGCAUCAAGUGUUGAUGGUCAACAAGACACCAGUUUCAAGAAAAAGGGCAAAGGGAAGAAGAAGGGGAACUUCAAGAAGAACAGCAAACAAGUUGUUGCUCAGGAGAAGAAACCCAAGUCUGGACCUAAGCCUGAGACUGAGUGCUUCUACUGCAAGCAGACUGGUCACUGGAAGCGGAACUGCCCCAAGUAUUUGGCGGAUAAGAAGGAUGGCAAGGUAAACAAAGGUAUAUGUGAUAUACAUGUUAUUGAUGUGUACCUUACUAAUGCUCGCAGUAGCACCUGGGUAUUUGAUACUGGUUCUAUUGCUAAUAUUUGCAACUUGAAACAGGGACUACGGAUUAAGCGAAGAUUGGCUAAGGACGAGGUGACGAUGCGCGUGGGAAAUGGUUCCAAAGUCGAUGUGAUCGCGGUCGGCACGCUACCUCUACAUCUACCUUCGGGAUUAGUUUUAGACCUAAACAAUUGUUAUUUGGUGCCAGCGUUGAGCAUGAACAUUAUAUCUGGAUCUUGUUUGAUACGAGACGGUUAUUCAUUUAAAUCAGAGAAUAAUGGUUGUUCUAUUUAUAUCAGUAAUAUCUUUUAUGGUCAUGCACCCUUGAAGAGUGGUCUAUUUUUGUUGAAUCUCGAUAGUAGUGAUACACAUAUUCAUAAUAUUGAAGCCAAAAGAUGCAGAGUUGAUAAUGAUAAUGCAACUUAUUUGUGGCACUGUCGUUUAGGUCAUAUCGGUGUAAAGCGCAUGAAGAAACUCCAUACUGAUGGACUUUUGGAACCACUUGAUUAUGAAUCACUUGGUACUUGCAAACCGUGCCUCAUGGGCAAGAUGACUAAAAUGCCGUUCUCCGGAACUAUGGAGCGAGCAACAGAUUUGUUGGAAAUCAUACAUAUAGAUGUAUGUGGUCUGAUGAAUGUUGAAGCUCGCAGCGGGUAUCGUUAUUUUCUCACCUUCACAGAUGAUUUAAGCAGAUAUGGGUAUAUCUACUUAAUGAAACAUAAGUCUGAAACAUUUGAAAAGUUCAAAGAAUUUCAGAGUGAAGUUGAAAAUCAUCGUAACAAGAAAAUAAAGUUUCUACGAUCUGAUCGUGGAGGAGAAUAUUUGAGUUGAGUUUGGUCUUCAUUUGAAACAAUGCGGAAUAGUUUCGCAACUCACGCCACCCGGAACACCACAGCGAAAUGGUGUGUCCGAACGUCGUAAUCGUACUUUACUAGAUAUGGUGCGACCUAUGAUGUCUCUUACUGAUUUACCGCUAUCAUUUUGGGGAUAUGCUUUAGAGACGGCUGCAUUCACGUUAAAUAGGACACCAUCGAAAUCCGUUGAGGCGAUGCCUUAUGAACUGUGGUUUGGCAAGAAACCAAAGUUGUCGUUUCUUAAAGUUUGGGGCUGCGAUACUUAUGUGAAAAAGCUUCAACCUGAUAAGCUCGAACCCAAAUCGGAGAAAUGUGUCUUCAUAGGAUACCCAAAAGAGACUGUUGGGUACACCUUCUAUCACAGAUCCGAAGGCAAGACUUUUGUUGCUAAAUUUGGAAUCUUUCUAGAGAAGGAGUUUCUCUCGAAAGAAGUGAGUGGGAGGAAAGUAGAACUUGAUGAGGUAACUGUACCUGCUCCCUUAUUGGAAAGUAGUUCAUCACAGAAACCGGUUUCUGUGACACCUACACCAAUUAGUGAGGAAGUUAAUGAUGAUGAUCAUGAAACUUCAGAUCAAGUUGUUACUGAACCUCGUAGAUCAACCAGAGUAAGAUCCGCACCAGAGUGGUAUGAUAAUCCUGUUCUGGAAGUCAUGUUACUAGACCAUGAUGAACCUACGAACUAUGAAGAAGCAAUGGUGAGCCCAGAUUCCGCAAAAUGGCUUGAGGCCAUGAUAUCUGAGAUGGGAUCCAUGUAUGAGAACAAAGUGUGGACUUUGCUUGACUUGCCCGAUGAUCGGAAAGCCAUUGAGAAUAAAUGGAUCUUCAAGAAGAAGACUGACGCUGACGGUAAUGUAACUGUCUAUAAAGCUCGACUUGUUGCGAAAGGUUUUCGACAAAUUCAAGGGAUUGACUACGAUGAGACUUUCUCACCCGUAGCGAUGCUUAAGUCUGUCCGAAUCAUGUUAGCAAUUGCCGCAUUUUAUGAUUAUGAAAUUUGGCAAAUGGAUGUAAAAACUGCAUUCCUGAAUGGAUUUCUAGAAGAAAAGUUGUAUAUGAUGCAACCGGAAGGUUUUGUCGAUCCAAAAGGAGCUAACAAAGUGUGCAAGCUCCAGCGAUCCAUUUAUGGACUGGUGCAAGCCUCUCGGAGUUGGAAUAAAUGCUUUGAUAGUGUGAUCAAAGCAUUUGGUUUUAUACAGACUAUUGGAGAAGCCUGUAUUUACAAGAAAGUAAGUGGGAGCUCUAUAGCAUUUCUGAUAUUAUAUGUGGAUGACAUAUUACUGAUUGGAAAUGAUAUAGAAUUUCUGGAUAGCGUAAAGGGAUACUUGAAUAAGAGUUUUUAAUGGAAGACCUCGGUGAAGCUGCUUAUAUAUUGGGCAUCAAGAUCUAUAGAGAUAGAUCAAGACGCUUAAUUGGACUUUCACAAAGCACAUACCUUGACAAAGUUUCGAAGAAGUUUAAAAUGGAUCAAGCAAAGAAAGGGUUCUUGCCUGUGUUACAAGGUGUGAAAUUGAGUAAGACUCAAUGCUCGACCACUGCAGAAGAUAGAGAGAAGAUGAAAGAUGUUCCCUAUGCUUCAGCCAUAUGCUCUAUCAUGUAUGCAAUGCUGUGUACCAGACCUGAUGUGUGCCUUGCUAUAAGUUUAACAGGGAGGUACCAAAGUAAUCCAGGAGUGGAUCACUGGACAGCGGUCAAGAACAUCCUGAAAUACCUGAAAAUACUAAGGAUAUGUUUCUCGUUUAUGGAGGUGACAAAGAGCUAGUCGUAAAUGGUUACGUCGAUGCAAGCUUUGACACUGAUCCGGACGAUUCUAAAUCGCAAACCGGAUACGUGUUUACAUUGAACGGUGGAGCUAUCAGUUGGUGCAGUUCUAAACAAAGCGUUGUGGCGGGAUCUACGUGUGAAGCGGAAUACAUAGCUGCUUCGGAAGCAGCAAAUGAAGGAGUCUGGAUGAAGGAGUUCAUAUCCGAUCUAGGUGUCAUACCUAGUGCAUCGGGUCCAAUGAAAAUCUUUUGUGACUAUACUGGUGCAAUUGCCUUGGCAAAGGAAUCCAGAUUUCACAAGAGAACCAAGCACAUCAAGAGACGCUUCAAUUCCAUCCGGGAUCUAGUCCAGGUGGGAGACAUAGAAAUUUGCAAGAUACAUACGGAUCUGAAUGUUGCAGACCCGUUGACUAAGCCUCUUCCACGAGCAAAACAUAAUCAGCACCAAGGCUCCAUGGGUGUUAGAAUCAUUACUAUGUAAUCUAGAUUAUUGACUCUAGUGCAAGUGGGAGACUGAAGGAAAUAUGCCCUAGAGGCAAUAAUAAAGUUAUUAUUUAUUUCCUUAUAUCAUGAUAAAUGUUUAUUAUUCAUGCUAGAAUUGUAUUAACCGGAAACAUAAUAGUUGUGUGAAUACAUAGACAAAUAGAGUGUCACUAGUAUGACUCUACUUGACUAGCUCGUUGAUCAAAGAUGGUUAUGUUUCCUAGCCAUAGACAUGAGUUGUCAUUUGAUUAACGGGAUCACAUCAUUAGAAAAAUGAUGUGAUUGACUUGACCCAUUCUGUUAGCUUAGCACACGAUCGUUUAGUAUUCUGCUAUUGCUUUCUUCAUGACUUAUACAUGUUCCUAUGACUAUGCGAUUAUGCAACUCCCGUUUACCGGAGGAACACUUUGUGUGCUACCAAACGUCACAACGUAACUGGGUGAUUAUAAAGGUGCUCUACAGGUGUCUCCGAAGGUACUUGUUGGGUUGGCGUAUUUCGAGAUUAGGAUUUGUCACUCCGAUUGUCGGAGAGGUAUCUCUGGGCCCACUCGGUAAUGCACAUCACUUAAGCCUUGCAAGCAUUGCAACUAAUGAGUUAGUUGCGGGAUGAUGUAUUAUGGAACGAGUAAAGAGACUUGCCGGUAACGAGAUUGAACUAGGUAUUGAGAUACCGACGAUCGAAUCUCGGGCAAGUAACAUACCGAUGACAAAGGGAACAACGUAUGUUGUUAUGCGGUUUGACCGAUAAAGAUCUUCGUAGAAUAUGUGGGAGCCAAUAUGAGCAUCUAGGUUCCGCUAUUGGUUAUUGGCCGGAGACGUGUCUCGGUCAUGUCUACAUAGUUCUCGAACCCGUAGGGUCCGCACGCUUAAAGUUUCGAUGACGGUUAUAUUAUGAGUUUAUAUGUUUUGAUGUACCUAAGGUAGUUCGGAGUCCCGGAUGUGAUCACGGACAUGAUGAGGAGUCUCGAAAUGGUUGAGACAUGAAGAUUGAUAUAUUGGACGACUAUAUUCGGACACCGGAAUGGUUCCGGGGGUUAUCGGAUAUAUACCGGAGUACCGGGAGGUUACCGGAACCCCCCGGGGGAUUAAUGGGCCUUCAUGGGCCUUAGUGGAGAAGAGGAGAGGCGGCCAGGGCAGGCCGCGCGCCCCCUCCCCUCUAGUCCGAAAUGGACAAGGAGGGGGGGCGGCGCCCCCCUUUCCUUCCUCUCUCCUCUUUCCCCACUUCUCCUAAUCCAACAAGGAAGGGAGGGAGUCCUACUCCCGGUAGGAGUAGGACUCCUCCUGGCGCGCCCCUCUCCUGGCCGGCCGCCUCUCCCCCCUUGCUCCUUUAUAUACGGGGGCAGGGGGCACCCUAGAGACACAACAAUUGAUCAUUGAUCUUUUUAGCCGUGUGCGGUGCCCCCCUCCACCAUAGUCCACCUCGAUAAUAUCGUAGCUGUGCUUAUGCGAAGCCCUGGUACCCUAGAACAUCAUCAUCGUCACCACGCCAUCGUGCUGACGAAACUCUUCCUCAACACUCGGCUAGAUCGGAGUUCGAGGGACGUCAUUGGGUUGAACGUGUGCUAAACUCGGAGCUGCCGUGCGUUCGGUACUUGAUCGGUCGGAUCGUGAAGACAUACGACUACAUCAACCGCGUUGUGCUAACGCUUCCGCUUUCGGUCUACGAGGGUACGUGGACACACUCUCCCCUCUCGUUGCUAUGCAUCACCAUGAUCUUGCGUGUGCGUAGGAAUUUUUUUGAAAUUACUACGUUCCCCAGCAGGUAUAAAUUUAGCAACAAUGUAAUUAGCAUAAUCAGCAUACCAUGGAGCAGUGCGAGAAGCAUUAAUGACAUUUAAUUGUUCAUCAGGAAAGCUAUCAUCAAUAGGUAGUGGGUCAUCAAGAACAUUCUCUAACCUAGACAAGUUGUCUGCAACGGGGUUCUCAGCUCCCUUUCUAUCAAUAAUAUGCAAAUCAAAUUCUUGUAGUAGGAGAACCCAUCUAAUUAUUCUAGGUUUAGCAUCUUUCUUUUCCAUAAGAUAUUUAAUAGCAGCAUGAUCAGUGUGAAUAGUUACUUUAGAAUCAACAAUAUAAGGUCUGAACUUAUCACAAGCAAAUACAACUGCUAAAAAUUCUUUUUCGGUAGUAGCAUAAUUUCUCUGGGCACUAUCUAGAGUUUUACUAGCAUAUUGGAUAGCAUUUAGCUUCUUAUCAACUCUUUGUCCUAGAACAGCACCUACAGCAUAAUCGCUAGCAUCACACAUAAUUUCGAAGGGUAAAUUCCAAUCAGGUGGCUGAACGAUAGGUGCAGAAAUCAAAGCUUUCUUAAGUAUUUCAAAUGCUUCUACACAAUCAUCAUCAAAGACAAAAGGUAUAUCUUUUUGUAAUAGAUUAGUCAGAGGCCGAGAAAUUUUUGAGAAGUCUUUAAUGAACCUCCUAUAAAAACCAGCAUGACCAAGAAAACUUCUUAUACCUUUGAUGUCCUUAGGACACGACAUCUUUUCAAUAGCAUCAACUUUAGCUUUAUCAACUUCAAGACCUCUUUUAGAAAUUUUAUGCCCCAAGACAAUUCCUUCAUUAACCAUAAAGUGGCAUUUCUCCCAAUUCAAGACAAGAUUAGUUUCUUCACAUCUCUGCAAAACUCAAUCAAGGUUGCUCAAGCAAUCAUCAAAAGAGCAUCCAUAAAAGGAGAAAUCAUCCACGAAAACCUCACAAAUCUUUUCACAAAAGUCAAAGAAUAUAGCCAUCAUGCAUAUUUAAAAGGUAGUAGGUGCAUUACAUAAACCAAAAGGCAUACGUCUAUAAGCAAAAGUACCGAAAGUGCAAGUAAAAGUGGUCUUUUCUUGAUCCUUUGCUGACACAGGUAUUUGAGAGAAACCAGAGUAACCAUCUAGAAAGCAAAAAUGUGUAUGUUUGGAUAAUCUUUCUAGCAUUUGAUCAAUAAAAGGCAAAGGGUAAUGAUCUUUUUAGUAGCUUUAUUUAAUUUGCGGAAAUCAAUUACCAUCCUAUAACCUGUAAUAGUUCUUUGUGGGAUCAAUUCAUCUUUAUCAUUAGGAAUGACAGUAAUACCUCCCUUCUUAGGGACACAAUGGACAGGACUUACCCACUGACUAUCAGCAACGGGAUAAAUUAUACCUGCCUCAAGGAGCUUUAAUAUUUCCUUUCUUACCACUUCUUUCAUCUUAGGAUUUAGCCGUCGUUGGUGAUCAAUAACUGGUUUGGCGUCUUUCUCCAAAUUUAUUUUGUGUUGACAUAGAGUGGGACUAAUGCCCUUAAGAUCAUCAAGAGUAUAUCCAAUAGCAGCACGGUGCUUCUUCAGAAUUUUCAAUAAUUUCUUUUCUUCAUGCUCUGAAAAGGUUAGCACUAAUAAUAACAGGAUAUAUCUUCUUUUCAUCAAGAUAAGCACAUUUAAGAGUAUCAGGUAAUGGUUUAAGCUCAAACACGGGAUCACCCUUGGGUGGAGGAGGAUCCCCUAGGAUUUCAACAUGCAGGUUGUGUUUCAAAAUAGGUCCCUAUUUAAAGAAUACUUCAUCUAUUUCCCUUCUUUCAUUCAUAAACAUAUCGUUUUCAUGGUCUAGCAAAUAUUGUUCUAAAGGAUCACUGGGAGGCACGGCAAUAGAAGCAAGACCAAUAAUUUCAUCUUUACUAGGCAAUUCCUCAUCACGGGGUUGUCUACGAAAUUUAGCAAAAUUAAACUCAUGAGACAUAUCACCCAGACCAAUAGUAACAACAUCCUUUUCGCAGUCUAUCCUAGCAUUAACAGUAUUCAAGAAGGGUCUACCAAAUAUGAUGGGACAAAAGCUAUCUUGUGGGGAACCAAGAACAAGGAAAUCAGCAGGAUAUUUAACUUUCCCACACAAGACUUCAACAUCUCUAACAAUCCCAACUGGUGAAAUAGUAUCUCUAUUAGCAAGCUUAAUUGUAACAUCAAUUUCUUCUAUUUCAGCAGGUGCAAUAUCAUGCAUAAUUUCUUCGUAUAAAGAAUGAGGUAUUGCACUUGCACUAGCACCCAUAUCACAUAAUCCAUGAUAACACUGGUCUCCUAUUUUAACAGAAAUAACAGGCAUGCCGACAACAGGUCUAUGUUUAUAUUUAGUAUCAGGUCUAGCAAUUCUAGCAGCUUCUCCACAGAAGUAAAUGGCAUGCCCAUCAAUAUUAUCAGCCAAGAGAUCUUUAACCAUAGCAAUAUUAGGUUCAACUUUAAUUUGUUCAGGGGGUUUGGGUGUCCUAAUAUUACUUUUGUUGACUACAGUUGAAGCUUUAGCAUGAUCCUUUAUUCUAACAGGGAAAGGUGGUUUCUCAACAUAAGCAUUAGGAACAAUAGGAUCAUUAUAAGUGAUAGUCUUUUCUUCAACUUUAAUAGGUGCAACUACUUUUACUUCAAUGGGAGGAUUAUAUUUAAACCACUUCUCCUUAGGGAGAUCAACAUGAGUAGCAAAUGAUUCACAGAAAGAAGCUACUAUCUCAGAGUCAAGUCCAUAUUUAGUGCUAAAUUCACGGAAAACAUCGGUAUCCAUAACAGAUUUAACACAAUCAAACUUAGGUGUUAUACCUGACUCCUUACCUUCGUCGAGAUCCCAAUCUUCAGAGUUGCGUUUAAUUCUUUCCAAUAAAUCCCAUUUGAAUUCAAUAGUCUUCAUCAUAAAAGAGCCAGUACAAGAAGUAUCGAGCAUGGAGCGAUUAUUGAGAGAAAGCCGAGCAUAAAAAUUUUGAAUAAUCAUUUAUCUUGAGAGCUCAUGAUUGGGGCAUGAAUAUAACAUUGACUUAAGCCUCCCCAAGCUUGAGCGAUGCUUUCUCCUUCGCGAGGCCAAAAAUUACAUAUAUAAUUACGAUCACGAUGAACAAGAUGCAUAGGAUAAAACUUCUGAUGAAAUUCCAAUUUCAAUCGCUUGUAGUUCCAUGAUCCCAUAUCAUCACAUAGCCUAAACCAUGUCAAUGCCUCUCCCUUCAAAGAUAAAGGGAAGACCUUCUUCUUGAUAACAUCCUCGGGCAUACCUGCAAGCUUAAAUAAUCCACAAACUUCAUCCACAUAGAUUAAGUGUAUGUAAAUCGGGAUGCAAUGUUCCAUCUCCUGUAAAAGGAUUAGCUAGCAGUUUCUCUACCAUACCCAAAGGAAUUUCAAAGUAAACAUUUUCAGUAGGUUCAGUAGGUUGAGGAGCAACUCUUUGCUCUACUGGUCGAGGUGAAGAUACCCCGAACAAGCCCCUCAGAGGAUUACUUUCCAUAGUAACAAGUGACGGUAAAUUUCAGCACACUAUAUAAUUUUUUCCUUACCAAAUUCCACCUACCAAAGGCGCUUCACUCCCCGACAACGGCGCCAGAAAAGAGUCUUGAUGACCCACAAGUGUAGGGGAUCUAUCGUAGUCCUUUCGAUAAGUAAGAGUGUCGAACCCAACGAGGAGCAGAAGGAAAUGGUAAACGGUUUUCAGCAAGGUAUUCUCUGCAAGCACUGAAAUUAUCGGUAAUAGAUAGUUUUGUGAUAAAGUAAUUUGUAACGGGUAACAAGUAAUGAAAGUAAAUAAGGUGCAGCAAGAUGGACAAAUCCUUUUUGUAGCAAAGGACAAGCCUGGACAAACUCUUAUAUAAAGGAAAACGCUCCCGAGGACACAUGAGAAUUAUCGUCAAGCUAGUUUUCAUCACGCUCAUAUGAUUCGUGUUCGUUACUUUGACAAUUUGGUAUGUGGGUGGACCGGUGCUUGGGUGUUGUCCUUACUUGGACAAGCAUCCCACUUAUGAUUAACCCCUAUUGCAAGCAUCCGCAACUACAAAAGAAGUAUUAAGGUAAACCUAACCAUAGCAUGAAACAUAUGGAUCCAAAUCAGCCCCUUACGAAGCAACGCAUAAACUAGGGUUUAAGCUUCUAUCACUCUAGCAACCCAUCAUCUAGUUAUUACUUCCCAAUGCCUUCCUCUAGGCCCAAACAAUGGUGAAGUGUCAUGUAGUCGAUGUUCACAUAACACCACUAGAGGAAAGACAACAUACAUCUCAUCAAAAUAUCGAACGAAUACCAAAUUCACAUGACUACUUAUAGCAAGACUUCUCCCAUGUCCUGAGGAACAAACGUAACUACUCACAAAUCAUAUUCAUGUUCAUAAUCAGAGGGGUAUUAAUAUGCAUAAAGGAUCUGAACAUAUGAUCUUCCACCAAAUAAACCAACUAGCAUCAACUACAAGGAGUAAUCAACACUACUAGCAACCUACAGGUCCCAAUCUGAGGCUUUGGAACAAAGAUUGGAUACAAGAGAUGAACUAGGGUUUUAGAGGAGAUGGUGCUGGUGAAGAUGUUGAUGGAGAUUGACCCCCUCCCGUUGAGAGGAUCAUUGGUGAUGACGAUGGCGAUGAUUUCCCCCUCCCGGAGGGAAGUUUCCCUGGCAGAACAGCUCUGGCGGAGCCCUAGUUUGGUUCCGCCUCGUGGCGGCGAAGUUUCUUCCCGAAAGCUUGCUUAUGAUUUUUUUUCCAGGGUAAAAGACUUCAUAUAGCAGAAGAUGGGCACCGGAGGCCUGCCAGGGGCCCCACGAGGCAGGGGGCGCGCCCAGGGGGGUAGGGUGCGCCCCCACCCUCGUGGCCAGGGUGUGGGCCCCCUCUGGUAAUUUCUUCGCUCAGUAUUUUUUAUUAAUUCCAUAAAUGACUUCCAUGAAGUUUCAAGACUUUUGGAGCUGUGCAGAAUAGGUCUCUAAUAUUUGCUCCUUUUCCAGCCCAGAAUUCCAGCUACCGGCAUUCUUCCUCUUCAUGUAAACCUUGUAAAAUAAGAGAGAAUAGUCAUAAGUAUUGUGACAUAAUGUGUAAUAACAGCUCAUAAUGCAAUAAAUAUCGAUAUAAAAGCAUGAUGCAAAAUGGACGUAUCACGCGCGAUGUGGUGCAACCACGGGAACAACCUCAGAUCGGUGGCGGAGACCACGUGCCGCGAUGCUACAUCCCGAAGGGGCGACGCAGCGGCGGCGCAGAUCGAUGCAGCCACAAGGAGAACCACGGGGCGGCGGCGCUGCGGCCCGAUGGGGCGACGCAGCGGCAACCCAUUGCUCGAUCAGUGGAGGGGCGCGCUGAACUCGGGGACAGGGCGGUGACGGCCGGCGUAGGUCGACCAGCGGGCCGAUGCACGGACAACGGCCGGGAGGGGGCCCCUGUCGCGCGAGGCUACCUGGUCGGUGAAGAGGCCGGUAGAUGGCGCUGGUGUCGGAGUAGAGGCACGGUGGUGGACGAUGGCGGCAGGCGACGCAAACCGAUCAAGCAUAGAUCGGAAACCAAAAAGAAAAACGCCCGGCGAAAGAGCGAAGAAAAAAAACGGAGCAAGGGCUCGGGAAAAAGACUCUCUAGGGCAGCCGGUCAACACGACCGGCGGACGAACCCUAGGUACGGGUGGUGCGGCCCCCGACGGCGGUCAUGGAGGCCGCCCCGGGGGCGGCACUCGGGUGCAGAAGCGGCGGCGGCUAGGGUUUAGGAUCGAGGUAAGGCUGAUACCAUGUUAGAAGGGAGAGAGAGGAUUGGUGGAAUAGUUGUUGUAUUGCUUGAGCCUCGUGGGCAUAUAUAUAGGAGUACAUAGUCAACUUGGAGUACAAGACAAGCCGGGACAUAUCCUAGUCUAUCUCAUAUUUCCUAAAUAAACAUAAUACUCAACAGAUUCUUCUGCUCCAACAUACACAAUCAACUACCCGCAAAAAAAAACAUACACAAUCAACAGCGGCAACCAUCGGGCUAAAAGAAAGGCACAAUCGCAAUGACAUACUUGCAGUUGCAGCGGAGACAGGACUUGUAGCGAAAAUAAUGCCAUCAUACUUGCAGCGGAGGUACGACUUGUAGCGAAAAUAAUGCCAUCUUUCAGAAUGGCUCGUGUAAAAACAGAAGAUAACCUCAGCGUACUUCAUGAGAAGGCGAAGCCAGUCAGUUAUGUUAGCACACCAGCAAACCCAGAGCAGAUUGCUUUACAUACCAAAGUUUCAAGCGAGAUAGAAAGUGUGAAAUUCAGUGCUUAUCAUUUCAUAAAACAGGAAAUUUCUAUCUUUACAAAUUACAUCCCUCCGUUCCUCAUGUUAGCAUCAUGUCGGGAUUAUUAGUUUAUAAUUAUUUUGUGCAUCACAAUCUUCAAAUUCAAAAGGAGAAAUAUAGCACAUACACAUCACAACUCCUCUGUUUCUCCGCCUCAAAGCAGCAGCACAAAACAGGCUUCAUUAAUCUCAAUUUGCGAGUGAAAUUAGUUCAAGCAUAUAAACUCAACCUGAAUUAUCAAGGAUGCAAGCAAAUGGAUCAAACAACAACGAAAGGGAUAGAUCGUACCACAAAAGGGCUUGACUUCUUGCUACUGUUGGUGGUGGCCACGGCAGGAUCGGAGCGAGUGGAGUAAGACGAAAUCACUAGUUGAGGAGUACUCGUUGCAAAGAUCACCCCAACCUCUCCAGAUUGCAACAAGUGGCGCGCUGCAUGUGCAUCACUUGUCGCAACCUGGAAGUUUUCCCUUUUUUCAUAGAUCCGUUUAUUCAAAAUGUUUUAUCACUUAAACCGUGUGUCCAAAUCUCGAACCGCUUUCAUCGUUGGAUUCCUCGCGUUGAGAUCUUCAAAACUAGAUCCUAUGUUGAUAGGUUUUGACAAACUUUUUUUUUCACGAAAAACCGAACCGGGAGCACGGGUUUUUUCCCUUUCCGAAAAAGGUAUACCCGUGCCUCUCACGAAAUCACAACCGUGCCUCUCGCGGAAGCAAAACCGUGACACUCGCGGAAGGAAAAAAAAGAAAACACGUUUUUUUCGUCUCCAAGAAGGCACGGCCGUGACUCUCACGAAAGCACAACCGUCCCUCUUGCGGAAGAUAAACCGUGACUCUCUCGAAAGAAAAAAAACAGAAAACGCGUUUUUUUCGUUUCCGAGAGGCACGGCCGUGACUCGCGAAAAGCACAACCGUGUCUGUCGCGGAAGCAAAACCGUGACUCUCACGAAAAGAAAAAAAACAUAAAAUACGUUUUUUUUCAUUUCCGAGAGGCUCAACCGUGACUCUCGCGAAAAGAAAAAAAAAUAAAACGUGUUUUUUUGUGCAAAAACAAUUGAAUUUUUUUAUUGAAAAGCUAAGGAAGACCGGUGGAAAACCAAAACGUUGAAAAAAACUGAAAAAACCGUUUAAAAAGCCGAAAACGCGUGCGAAAAAAAUAAAAUUCGGAGGGAGCGCGACACGUGGCAAAUGGCUGAGAGCGCGCCAAGUGACGCUGAUCGUUGCGAGCCUCCCAAAGGAGCGCUAGUUGCUCUCGGGGGAAUAACAUGACGACGCUGGGAAGAAGUGGAUGGUUGGCUCGGCUGUAGGGCCAAGCCGUCCUCCUCCAUGGCCGCCUAGCCAGAUUCAGCUCUCGACAUCUCUCUCUCCGCACUUAGAUGGAGGCGAGGACGAAGCCCUAGCAAAAAUUAUAUCACCGAAAAGAUUCAAGUUUGACCGUAAAUUUAACCAACGAGACAGCUUGCGGCGGGAUAUCGAUCUCGUUGGUUAAAUUUACGGUCAAAUUUGAAUCUCGAAAAUACGGACGCACUAAUAGGCGGCCAUGUCAACCUAUUUGGGCCGGUCAACCCGCAACCGUAGGAUUUCGUUGAUUCUAGUUCGAUGCACUUCGUCUUUAUCAGAACACACGCGUACGGAAAUAUUCCCCUGCAUCUCAUCGCUCUCUUCCGACUGGCCGGCCGCAGUUGCUCUCUGGUCGCUGCCCUCACGGGUCCUCCUCGUUGCCAGUCGUCACCCUCGCCGGCCAUCCUCGUUGCCGAUUGAAGCAUCAAAUGGCGCGACGGCGUCGCUCACAGCCAAUAGCAGUUGUAGCAAAAAUCUUUGUCGAUUCCAGCAAAACAAAAACAUGGUGGAAGCAAAAAUAUGGGUCACCAGUUCCAGCAAAAAACACAAUACGCGGAAGCAAAAUAAAAUGAUACAUCGGUUCCAGCAAAAACACAACACGGUGGAAGCAAAAUGAGACGCCGGUUCCAGCAAAAAAAGACGGUGGUAGCAAAAGAAUUGUCUGAUUCCAGCAAAAUCUGAAGACGGUAGUAGCAAAAAUUGGGGAUGAUUGCAACAAAAAAACAAACUGGUUCCAUCUAUGUGUGUCGCAAUUGCAGCACCGCCGUCCGGACGUGGUCACCACGUCGGGUCGUGGUCACCACUGCCAUGGGAUGGCCCCAGCUGGUAGCAGCUUCGCCUUGGAUGGUUGCAACUAGUCGUACAUAGGUUGCAACCAUCCCAUGGCGCCGCCAUGGCUCGGAUGCAAAACCGAUGCAGCUCCGUGCACCACCGGGUUGCAGCCCAUCGCGCACACCGUCGUUGCCGUCGUAGCAAAAUGGUUGGCCGGCUGCAGCUUUUUGUGUUGCCGGUUGUAGCCCAUCGCGGUAGCUCUGUCGGCACCGUAGCAAAACAGUUUGCCAGUUGCAGCCUUUUAAUUUGCCGGUUCCAGCUGCUCGCGCAGCCAAUAGCAGCACCGGAGCUCGCCGGUUCCGGCAGGCGGUGGGUGGUUGCAGCAAAGAACACUGGCGAGGGGUGGACUGCAGCGUGGGCUUGCAGCAUCACUGGUGUGCCCGACCUUGCUUUACGCUCAUGGAAGAAAAGAGUGAGAGGUAGAAGAAGAAAUUGGGGACCAAGGGAUAGACAGAAAAAAGAAAGAUGUAGACGAGAGACGGAGAAAGGAUAAGAGACGUGUGGAUGUGGUCUCUUCUGGUGGAGAAAACGAGAAGCGGUGCGCUUGGGGCCCACAACUACAUGGUGCGUGGCGUGUGACUGGCUGGAGUUUCGGCCGGCGCACCGUCUCCGAACGUUUUCUUGUGAAAAGGAGUGAGUAAAAGAAAACUAGGAUGACCGAGCACACAAAUCGUGCAAAAUACAGACUUCCAAGACAAAAAGGAGAGAAAGAGAUAAUAAAGGGAGAAGAAAUAAGAGGGCAGGACCGUCUUUUCCGUCCCCCUUCUUCCUUGCGAGCACAGGGUUUUCUUCCGCCGCUCCCCCCAAUCCAUCCAUCGAUUCCCAUCCGCCGCCGCCGCCGUCUUCCAGCCCCCACCCCCACCUCCAGUCUAGACCCCGCGCGCCGCGCCGAUGGGGCGCAAGAAAAACGUCGCCAUCGACGACGACGAGUACUCCCUGCCGCAGGACGACGAGGCCGCCCCCCCGCCGCCCCCCCGCCGCCCCCCGCCGCCGCCGCGGAGAAGGAGAAGCCGCCGCCCAAGAAGGGCGGCAAGAAGGGCGGCAAGUCCGCCGCGCACGACGACGACGACGACUACGAGCCCGCCCCGCCUCCCCCGCCGGCGGGCGAGGAGGACGACGAGCCGAUCAACGUCGUCUUCACCGGCAAGAAGAAGAAGAAGAAGGGUGGCGCGGGCGGGGGCGGGAUGAGCGCCUUCGACGCCCUCGCGGCCGCCGAGGACCAGGAUGAGGACGAGGCCCCUGCCUCCACCACCGCAUCCGAGCUCGAGGCCGGUAGGUCUGAGGCCAGCGGCGAUCUCGACGACGUCGACCUCGAUUUCGACUUCAGCAAGUCCAAGAAGAAAAAGAAGAAGGGCAAGGGAGCUCGCCUGUCCGCCGAGGAGGACGAGGAGGCGGCUGCUGCUGCUGCGGCGGCGCCCCCAGCUGCUGCCGAGGAAGAGGAGGAGCAGGAGGCUGCGGCCAUGGCUGCCAAGAAGCCACAGAAGAAGAAGAAAAAGAAGGGUGGGUUUACUGUGGACGAUGAGGACAUCGACAAGCUCCUGGCCGAGAUGGAGGAUCCUCCCCAACCAGCAAAGGAGGCUGAGCCGGAGGAGGCUAAAGGUGGGGAUUCUCUGGCUGCCCCAGAUGCCGAUGAUGCCGGCGGAAAGAAAUCGAAGAAGAAGAAAAAGAAGGGAGGGUUUACUGUCGACGAUGAGGACAUUGACAAGCUCCUUGCAGAGAUUGAGGACCGGCCUGCUGCCGCUGAGGAGCCUGAGCCCAAGUCAGCCAAGGCAGAGGAUACUGUGGCUGCUGCUCCUGCUGCGACCAGUGUGGAUGAUGCUGAAGGGAAGAAAUCAAAGAAGAAAAAGAAGAAGAGCGGAAGGACAGCACAGGAAGAGGAGGAUCUGGACAAGCUUCUUGCUGAGCUCGGUGAAGGACCGGCACCGGCACCGGAGAAGGAGAAACCAUCCCAGGCAGCGCCUUCCGCUCCAGCAGUGAAGGAGGACGCUGAAACUGCGGAGGAUGGUAAUGCAGAGCAGAAGGCCGGGGAAGGAGAGGUAGAGUCCGCUGCAGCCAAGAAGAAAAAGAAGAAGAAAGAAAAAGAGAAGGAGAAGAAGGCAGCAGCAAAGGGGACAGAGGCUAAGAAGGAGGAGGAAAAGGAGCCAGAGGCGCCUAAAGGCAAGGUUGACAUGAAGAAGCUCCCAAAGCAUGUCCGGGAGAUGCAGGAGGCUCUUUUGAAGAGGCAGGAAGCCGAGGAGCGGAGGAAGAAAGAGGAGGAAGAACGUUUGAGGAAGGAGGAAGAGGAGCGUUUGAGGAAAGAGGAGGAGGAGAAGAAGGCAGAGGAAGCAAAGAGGAGGAAGAAGGAGAGGGAAAAGGAGAAGCUGCUCAAGAAGAAGCAGGAAGGUAAGCUUUUAACAGGGAAGCAGAAGGAGGAGGCCAAGCGGUUAGAAGCCAUGAGGAGACAAUUCCUUGGUGAGAGUGAAGUUCCAGUAGCUGAUGGGGCUGCCCCUGAGAUUAAGAAGAGGCCAAAGUAUGAUAGCAAGAAGAAAAAAGUUCAAACAAAGGCUUCAGAGGCCCAGAAGGUAGCUGAAGAACAACAGCAAGAGGUAAAUGAAGCCAACAUUGACGAGGAAGAGUAUGUCAUAGUGGACCAGGAAUCUCAGUCUCAGGUGGCAGAAUCUGAGACAAAAACAGAACCCGACCAAGAGGUGGAAGAGGCAAAACAAGAAGAGGAGGAAGAUGAAGAUUACUGGGAUGCAAAGAGCUGGGAUGAUAUCGAUGUGGGUUUGUCGAAGACAAGUGCUUUCGAGGAGGAAGAGGAGAAGGAGGACAAGCCUGUUGCCACGAAGCAGGAAAUUUCUAAACCGCAACCUGUAGUGCCUGCUGUAAAAAAUGUUGCUCCGCCUGUUGACAACUCUAAAAAGAGUGAAACUGAAAAUGUGCGUGCCAACAAUGGAGUUGCUAAAAAGAAAGGGAAGAAAGGAUCUUCUAAAGAUGAUGAUGCUGACAAUGCUAGCGACCUCCGUUCACCAAUCUGUUGCAUCCUUGGUCAUGUUGAUACUGGAAAGACAAAGCUGCUGGACUGUAUUAGACGAACUAAUGUACAAGAAGGAGAAGCUGGCGGUAUUACUCAACAGAUUGGAGCUACAUACUUCCCAACUGAGAAUAUUAGAGAGAGAACAAGGGAAUUGAAGGCUGAUGCUACUCUCAAGGUUCCAGGCCUGCUUGUUAUUGAUACUCCUGGCCAUGAGUCCUUCAGUAAUCUGCGUUCUAGAGGUUCAAGUUUGUGCGACAUUGCUAUUUUGGUUGUCGACAUUAUGCAUGGGCUUGAACCCCAGACAAUCGAAUCCCUGAAUCUCUUGAAAAGUCGAGAUGCAGUAUUUAUCGUUGCUUUGAACAAGGUACUAUUCUUGGAUUUUUGUCCCUUUGACUUUCGGCUUCCUUACUGUUCUGCUAUUUACUUGUUUGUUUCUUAUCACUGUAUGAAGGUUGAUCGUCUUUAUGGUUGGAAGACCUGCCCCAAUGCUCCUAUCGGGAAAGCCUUGAGACAACAAAAUGAUGAUGUCAAGUUGGAGUUCAAUACGAGGCUUACUGAUGUAUGUGGACAUUAUUGUUUCCUCCUUGUUUUAUAGUAUUAUGGAAAGAACUACUAGUUGGUGUUGUUCUAAUCACAUGUAUGUGCUUUGUCCAACAGAUUGUGACACAAUUCAAGAUGCAAGGUGUGAAUACUGCUUUGUACUACAAGAACAAAGAGAUGGAAGAUACAUUUAACAUUGUGCCUACCAGUGCAGUAAGGCAUGGUCAACAAUUAAUCUUAUUGGUUCAUUCAUUCAGAUAUCUGGCAGCAAGUACGAUAUUACUAGCAUCUUUUCCUUAACACAUAAUGCACUUCUCCCUGCAGUGGUGAAGGCAUUCCUGAUCUGCUUCUACUAUUGGUGCAAUGGGCACAAAAGACGAUGGAAGAAAAGCUUACUUUUGUUGAUGAAGUCCAGGUACCGUGCAUAUAUGAGUUACUACUCAUCACUGUAGAAGAAUGCACUUGUAUGAUCUUAUCUUAUUCUGUUUCAGUGUACCGUGCAUAAAUAUACUUGUCAUUGUAGAAGAAUGCAGUCUUAUGAUCUUAUCUUAUUGUGUGUCAGUGUACUGUCCUGGAAGUCAAGGUCAUCGAAGGUCAUGGCACUACAGUUGAUGUUGUGCUGGUCAAUGGUAUGCUCCAUGAAGGAGAUCAAAUAGUCGUGUGUGGCAUGCAGGUAAGAAUCAUGUUGUAUAAUUGCAAUUGCUGCAGCAAAUACAUCACCAGCACAUGUAAGACUCAUUAUGUUCUUGUUAUAUAUCUAUUUAGGGACCCAUUGUGACAACCAUCAGAGCUUUGUUAACACCACACCCGAUGAAGGAGCUUCGAGUUAAGGUGUGUGGCUCAUUAUACUACACCUUAGUUUAAUUUCUUAUUUUAGAUCCAAUAUAUUGCUGUUCAACUAGGCUGUCACCUUUAAGAUUCAUUCUCUUUCGGUGCUUUGAUGACUGGGGACCUAUUGAUAGCUUUGAUCAAAACAUUUACAUACUGGGAGGUUUAUAUUAUGCACAUUUUUUAUGACUGGGAACCUAUUGAUAGCUUUGAUCAUAAGAUUUAUGUCAUCAUGUCAUUUUUGUGCCUACCUGGAAAUAGUAAAUUAAUGUCAUGCUAACUCUACCAAGAAAGCUCAAUGGCAUGUUUGAUUUGCAGCCAUACUUUGCCAAAUGUUAGGUAGACACGUGUACCGAGUGUUUGGAUACAUUCACAGGUGGCAUGCCACACUUUCUUUGUCAGUCACCCCACUUGUCAUGGACUCAGUUGCCAGCCAACUUUUGCCACAAGUGUGUUGACCAAUUUGUUCAUCUUAGACACCACCAUGCUUACGCCUUGCCAAGACACUUAAAAUGCUUGCAUAUUAUGAUUCAUUGCUUUCUUUUGCACUAAGAUGAUUUGAGCCUUUGGUUCACCUUUUAAGUUUGAGUUGACUAAUUCAUCGAAACACAAAAUCUCAGGGCACCUACCUUCACCAUAAGAAGAUCAGAGCUGCACAAGGAAUUAAAAUAUCAGCUCAGGUGGGUUCAUUAAUUUUUUGGCACUUCAGAGUGUAAAUAUCAGCACACUUCUGAAAAAUAACAAGUGUUCUCUGUCAGGGUCUCGAACAUGCAAUUGCUGGGACUGCUCUAUAUGCUGUACGACCUGAUGCAGAUAUAGAGGACCUGAAGGAUGCUGUAAUGGAAGAGAUGUCAAGGGUUAGGAACCGGAUUGAUAAGAGUGGCGAGGGUGUCUAUGUGCAAGCAUCUACGCUUGGGUCAUUGGAAGCUCUGACUGAGUUCUUGAAGAGCCCUGCUGUGAAUAUCCCCUUCUGUGAUUUCAGCAUAGGCCCAGUGCACAAGAAAGAUGUUAUGAAGGCCAGCGUUAUGCUUGAGAGGAAGAAGGAAUAUGCAACUAUCUUGGCGUUUGAUGUCAAAGUGAUGCCUGAUGCCCGUGAUCUUGCAGAAGAGUCUGGUGUGAAGAUCUUCGUGGCAGAUAUAAUAUACCACCUUUUUGACCAAUUUACAGCGUACAUUAAGAACAUAAGGGAAGAGAAGAAGAAGGACAGCGCCGAAGAAGCUGUUUUCCCCUGUGUUCUUAAGAUCAUGCCGAACUGUGUCUUCAACAAGAAGGAUCCAAUCGUUUUGGGUGUCGAUAUCCUCGAAGGAAUAGCAAAGGUAUUUUGUCUGAUCAGUGAAAUUUUAUAUUUUCUCAACCCUUAUUUUACUGGAUUUUUUAGCUGAGCAGUUAUCUUUCUAGAAUACCCAGUAGUUUGUAACUGGCCUAGAUUAACAAAUGCCAGUAGGCUCAUCAUCUAGAAACUGGAAACUGUCAUAUGUGUCCAUAGAUAUGAAUGUUAUGUUAUGUUUCUCAUACAUCAUGGAGUGGUUGGUCUUUCACGUCUUUCUCAAGCUAUUUUUCUAGAACAUUCAGUAGUGAAGAACCAACUGCCCAAUUAAACAAAUCCUCAUAGUCUAGAAAGUGGGACCUGUCAUAUGUAGAAUUUGAUGUCCGAAACACUUGAAUAUUAUCAUGGAGUGGUCUUUCUCAAGAUAUGUAUUCGAUUCCUUGUUUUCCCUUGUCAUGUAGGUGGGAACGCCUCUGUGCAUACCCUCGAAAGAAUUUAUUGAUAUUGGGAAGAUUGCCUCCAUUGAAAUUAAUCACAAGCAAGUUGAUACAGCCACAAAAGGGCAAAAGGUGGCUAUAAAGGUUUGUGUUAUCCUGUGUUACUCUGUUUCUUUUUCUUCUUGUUAGAUUUAUCAGGUUCUGUCUGACAUAUGUUGUUGUUUCCUGGGUGGUGAGCAGAUCAUUGGGAGCAACUCUGAUGAGCAGCAGAAGAGCUUUGGCAGGCACUUUGAGAUGGAAGACGAGCUCGUCAGCCACAUCACAAGGCGGUCCAUCGACCUUCUCAAAGAAAACUACAGGGCAAGUCUUUCUUGUUUGUUUCCAUGUGCAUUGAUUGGUUCACCCCGUUGUCUGCCCAUAUACUCUGGUGGUUCUUCCAGGCCACCACCACCACCAGUUAGUGAUUUUUUGUUGACUGUUGUUGACUGCAGGAUGACUUGACGAUGGACGACUGGAAACUUGUGAUGAAGCUGAAGAAGAUACUGAGUAUCCCAUGAGUUUGUUGACAAAAAAAGCCGGCGCGACCCUCUGGUUGCUUGCCCAUAGAGGAGGGUGUUUCAAUUUUGAUGAUGAUGAUACGGUUGUAAUUUGGUGGGAGUGCGCUCUCGGUUGCUUUUCUUUCUUUUCAUGCAAUCGUUUUGUUCCUGUUUUUGUUGCACUGUUUAACCUGAAGCUUGUUAACGAUUGGCUUUGGAGCAAAAGUAACAGGUGUGCUGAGCUUGGGCAGUAGACUAGGCUUUAUUUUUUUGGGGGCGGAUAGUUGUCGGUUUCAUGUCCUCUUUGCCUAGUUAUUGCAUUUUCCUAAGAAAAAGCCAGUUAUUACUAUUUUUGUUGUUGGUGAAUUUCACCUGAUACAGUUAUACUCUAAUUGAAUCCAGCUAUUUGGAAUAAAGUAAGAAGGUAAACUGGCGCAAAAGGAGAAAUCUGUCAAACUGAAGAAAAGAAACAAUAAACUGCUUUGAUUGCUGGCAGCCCAUUUGCUUGAUUUAGCAGCGAGGACCUAGGAAUGGUGAGAAACGAUUGACUUGAAGGAAGGGAGAUAUUUCCUCUCUCUGGAAUUACUUGACGAACGUAAGUAAUUCCAGAUGGAGAAAGUAUAUUUCAUUUCAAAAAAAGAGUCCUCACUUUAUAUAGAGAUCACCCUGCACCAAAAAUGCCAUAUCCACUCCAGUGUUGUUAAACAUGAUAGCCUAAGGUGCUACUCCGUGAACAUUUAUACUUUCUUUGAUUUAUAUUACUUGUCUUGAAUAUAGGUGUGUCUACAUAUAUUUGUAUCUAACAAAUCUAAAAAGUAAUAUGAGGGAGUACAACUUAUUCCUACUCUGACAAUUGAUUUUUAUCCCAACCGCUCCAUACUACCAUAGGGGUUGUUUUGGUUAUUCUUAUUUGAGAAAAGUUCACUCACGGUCCUUGAACUUGAGCCGGUGCUCACCUUGGUACCCUAUCAAUUUAAUAUACCCGAAAUAUGGUCCCUUAAUUUGUCAUGGGGUUCACAUGCAAUCCAAAAUACAAUUUUCUGGCACUGGUCAACUGAAUCUGGACACAUUGUAAAAAAAACUAUAGUACACAUGCAGUCGUUCCUAUCCGGUUUCUUCGGCCAUAAGAGCAUCUCCAACGGAUGUGCUAGAUAAGCCGCGCGCGGGAAAAAACGGCUAUAUAGUGCGCGCGUGAUCGAAAGUAGCGCUCCAAUAGCCGCACUAUAAUCCGGCGCGCGGUAAACAAGGUUCAGCGCGCUGAGUAUUUGAUGGGCCCGCUCGCGCGCGCUGGACAAGAUAAUCAUGCGCGCGAAUCUCACCAACCACCAGAUCUGAAACCUCUAGGAGCUAGCGCCUCCGCCCGUGCUUUUCCCCAUUCGCUCUGGCAGCGCUUCCCCCGCCUAUCCUCAGCACGCGAUGUUGUAUGUUUGUUGUAUUGUUUACUAUUUAUUGUAUUGUUCAUUGACUAUUUAUUGUAUUGAAGAUAAACUAUUUGUUUGAGUUGUAAUAAUAAUCAAACUAUUUAUUGUUGAUUUUUUUGUGUGUUUAGUCUUCUUGGUUCUACAUUGAGUGGGAAAUAUUGUUUGUGUUGGGCGCAUGUUGUAGCACCUGUGCUGGAGCACUACUUGCGGCGUGCAAUAUAUAACGUUUCUGAUAAAGCAAAACAUCAGUGCAGCACACUAAAACGCUAUUUCGACACAAAAAAAAUUUAGCACCCCGCGCUACUGCGGUCUGUUGGAGAUGCUGUAAGAGCAUCUCCAACAGCGGUGGUAAAAAACGCGCGCGCGGGGAAACAUGGGUCUUAGCAUGCGCAGAGCGGUUUCGCGCGCUCCAGCGGGCGCGGGAGAUUCUGGCGCGCGCGAAAAAGCGACCCGGCGCGCGGCCUCCUGCGCGCUUUAUAAAUCCAGCGCCCCUCCACGCGCCCUCUCAUCGCUCUGUGUGGGGCCUUAAAAAGGAUAUUCGCGGAACAUGCUCUUUUACGGCUCGUCUUUGCGGGGUCUGCUCGAGCGCUGCCCCCGCCGGCCCGCAAACCCGAAAUUUGCAUUUCAGUUUCACACAUGAAAAUACAUUUAUUUACUUUUUUAAUUUUUUUCAACGGCAUUGGAUACAUAGUAAUUCAUCGAAUCUUUACUAGAAUAGUAAGACUAAAGAAAACAAGAACCACAAUUAUGCAUUUUAGAAGAUAUCCAACUUUCAUAAUUGCUCCCACUAGUUGGAGCAAUAUCUUCUUCAUGCAUUCGUUGUUGAUCUGCGGAUUCUUGAUCUUGCAUUCUUCAUUCUUCUUCUUUGAUUCUAAAGAAGUAGACGUUGCUUCUCCUCUACUUUCUUCUCUAAUUGCACAUGCAGCCGCAUCAUUAGCCUCAAUUCUACUAAGGAGUGCACAAACAUCUAUCAAGUUUUUUAUCAAUAAAUUAAUGUAUUCUUCUUCCCAAAACCAAAAUGAGUAUCCAUCUUCCUACACACAUGACGAUGUUUAAAAUGAGCUGUUGCAAUUGAACCGAAGAAUACAAUGACAAAGCCGAAUGGAAACAACACAUACCCUGUCGUUUUCGAAUUUCAAGAACACCCAUCCGGGGUGCUUCGGCGUGCCAGAAGUUAGUCGCACCACUGUCCGCGUGCAAUCGUCGCAUUGUAUUAGCAGCAUCGGCGAGCCGCUGCGCGAGCACCGAGCCCAGUGGACGGCCGGCCGAAUCCUUGCCGGCAAACCGAUGGCGGCGAUGGCUAUAGGACGAACCCGUAUAUACCUGCAUGCGGCGUUGGGGCUUUCCGGGGUUGUGCGGGCUGCUCCCCGACCAAUCCAUGGCUUGGCGCAGCCACCGAUGACCGGAAACGCCAAAUCCUGCUGCCGCGUCGAAUGGCCGCCGAUGUGCAACUUUUUGGCCCGCCAACGUAGGAGGAAGUGGCGGAGGGCAAGCUCGGGCGUGUUGCGGCCCUCCGUCGUGAUCCCGCCGGCUAGUUUGGCCGGAAUUGUAGGCGGCCCGGCAGUGAGGGGUGGGGAAAAGCGCGGGGCGAGAUGAGGAGGGGCGGCGAUGGGUGGGGAAAAGCGCGGGCUGAAAUGUCCCCCUCCCCCCCCCUCCUAACCACUCCCGCUAUAUACAGGGCGCCGACGGGCCGUGGGGGGAGCCCACAUUUUCGCGGGUUGGACGGGAAUUACGCCGCACCCGGCAAAAACUUUUACGGGCCGGACGCGUUUGCAGGGUCUGGUCUGGCAGGAUUUUUCGCGCCGACCCGUAUUUUGUCGGUUAUUUUGCGGGUCGCGAUGUUAUACGGGGUUUGGUAGAGAUUCUCUUAUACAUGCAACUAAUUAGCGUAGGGGCUUGGCCGUCAACUCUGUGCUGCAAUGGAGUUUGAGUAGGUGGUAAGCUGAGCGCAUUAAUUAAUAUAGGUUAUGAAACACCAUCUCAGCCAGUCGGGCGAGUGUUCUGGAGGCGCGGGAGUAGGAGAGGCCACCGAGUUUAACGCAUGUUGCCGGCGGGCCGUGGUGCACGCACGCCGAUUGUCCAGUCGCACCGGCCGGCCGGCCUGGUCAUGGAUGAAGGAAGAUGUUCCUUUUUUCGUAAUUGGUUGAUUGAUUGGUUUGGCCACGAUGGAGUUGCGCAGCAGGUAGCGCCUAUAACGAGGAGACGUGGUCCGCCUGUAUUCCACAUUCCACAGCACUCCUUCCGUAAAUUAAUAUAAGACUGUCUUAUAACCGAGGGAGGGAGUAGUAUUUAGCUGUCGUUAGAAUUGGAUGAAGAAAAAAAGAUUGGUUCUUUUCGAGCGAAGUCUAAAAUAAAUCCUAAGAUUGUAGAAUUCGAUGAAAACGAACCCUGACGUUUAAAUCUCUGAAACAUGUAUGUACCCUGACUUCGUUGAUCCCGGUCGUUUUGAACCUUGAGAUGGGAUUCCUAUAUACCACCCGGAAAGGCCGGGAUCAAUUAGUCAGCCAGCACCUGCAGAUGGGUCCCAUGGAAUCAAACCCCUUCAGUCUUAGAAAUGUGGGUGAGGUGCCGGUGCAGUUCACGGACAGUAUCGGCGGCUCCCCGAUGCAGAUGCAGCUUCCAGUACGAGACAAGUCCUUCAUCAAUGGAAUGGAAUGGAAUGGCCCGUUGAUUGUGAAGCAACGUCGGCCGUGGUGCCCAUGCAUGCAACAGCAGAGGAUGAGCUCUCAAUUUUCAGUAGAGUAUUUGGACAUUUCCUCUGCUCUGCUGUGCUUAUUGCUCUGCUAAUUUUCAGUAGAGUAUUUUCAAAUGAGCCACGAUGCAAUGCAACCACCCAAAACACACAUAUUGCAUUCGAAGAAUGUUGGUGCUGCCAAGGGAAGAAAUGACAUUGCCCAUUGUUUUUUUUUAGAUACCUUAAUUUUUUCUUGGUGGUGGAGUGAUCGCGGGUCUGCUUUCGGAUCUGGAUGCAGUUGGGUUAGCGACCUCAGGGCGCAGGUCAACACGAUGGUGCUGAGCACGGGUGGGAAUGGCGAGAUGCGCUGCGGCCUGCGGCCCGGCAAUGAGCAGUCUGCUCUCUCUCUCUCUCUCUCUCUCUCUCUCUCUCUCUCUCGGAUCGGAUGCAGCAGCAACAUUUGGCCGACCACCUCGUCUGCGUUCGGCCUCAACGGCGAGCUCAAGGCUGGCCACCUUGCGAUGUCGGCAGAACACGCGCCAUCGACGAGCAGAAGCUGGGCGUCCAUGAGCGACCGACCCACAGGCGGUUGUGGAAAAGCGCAGACAGCACAUGCACAUGCGACGCGAGGUGGUCGUGGGUCCGGCUCCAGAUCGAGGCGUCCGCCCCUCCCGCCUCCGACGAGGCGACGACGAACCGGGAGCAGCUCUUCGCCACCGCCUAGGCCUCGCACGCAACUCCAGCCUGCGCGUGGGAGCUUCAGGAACUCGGGUUAUGUGUGUCGUCGGCGCGAGCCCGGAUGCCAUGGGCGGAGGCCCCCAGCAGCAAGUCCCCGUCUACAUCCACCCUGCCCUGCCGUCUUCAUUGACCGCACCACGGCGUCUCGCGAGUCAGACACUAAGCCAGUGGUGGCGCGGACAUGGCGUUGGCAACCUCCAACAACAGGAUGCCCGGCUGCCCGCCCUUCGCGCCCGAGUGCAGAGUCGCCAUGGAGAGGACCUUGUGCAGCAGCGGUUCGAGCUCGGCGCGGCAACGAUGGUCAUGGCUCUGCUGCGGCGGCGGCGGCGGCGGCGCGCUCUUGGCCACCAACGAGGGGUGGCCACCCUUGACCUCGUUGCGUCGCCGUCGACGGAGGUCGAGCGCACGUGAGGUGCUCGACGAAAUGUGACAUGUCAAGCUUUUUUAAAACAUAUUUUUCUUAUUUUUUUUCUUUUUGCGGGAAUAUUUUUCUUAUUUCAAAAAGCAUGUCAACUUGGAAUAAGUACACGGAUCUGGAGAAGCCUAUCUAGUUUCAAGCAAGUACUCGUCUUUUUUAGUUCGCAUAUAAGAUUUGACUAAAGUCAAUCCUCGUAAAUUUUGACCAAGUUUAUAGAAGAAGAAGAAGAAAAAAAACAUUCGGAAUGUCAACUCAACAACAAUGCAAGAGUCAUGAUUUUAGUUUUCACAUUUAGCAUUGUACAUGUUAACAUUUUUUUCACAUAAAUAUGGUCAAAUUUUACAAAGUUUGACUACAGAUCAUUCUUAUAUGCUGAGUAAAAAUAGACCGAAGGGAGUAUGCGGGUUUGAAAAAGAAUCACAAACUUCAAAGGAAAAGUAAACAAAUUUGAAAAAAAAAGUAUCAACUUAAGAAAAGCACGUGAAUCUCAAAGAAGUUCAUCUAUUUAGAAAGUAAGCGGAUUUGUAAAAAGUUACAUGAACUUGAGAGAAGUAGACGAAUUUUAUAAAAUUACACAAACUUCAAAAAGAGUUUGGAAUUGAAGAAGUAACUGAAUUUUAAAAGGACCCUGAUACUUUUUGAUGGCAAAUUUAGUUAUUCGGCAAUGACAACUUUAGUCGUGGAGGAACAACUUCCUCUUUGGAUGUCGAGUUUCGGUUUUCCGAGGUUUUUUCAUAUGACAAUUCUAAUUGUAAAAAAUGUCAAAUUUUGUGCCACACCUGUGGCAUUUAUCAUUAGGGAAAAAAGUGACGGACUUGACAAAUGCGUCAACUUGAAGAAAGCAGAACCUGCGGAAAACAAGGUGAGCACCAAAACCAAGACAAGGACGAACCUUGUGCAGUUUAUCGUGAAACGGGGUACAAAACGAAGGGCGAAUAUUAUACUACCAUUCAUUAUUCUUACCAAAAUACCCACUUGGUCAGUACGGCCUGAUUCAAAAAAAGAUUAUCACGAACACAGACGGUAGAUAGGAGAAGGAAACGAUAAAGCAGAACUAUCAUUAUACGCCAAAAAAAAUACAACUCGCGGGGCAAUAAAUCUAAAAUCUUCCUUUCUCUUCUCAUAUUCUUGUUUUCUCAGUCUGUUUUUUCAGAAGUUCACGGAACCUACCCAUAAAGAUCCUGAACAGAAUUUACGGGCACCAGCAGUGACGUCCAAACAAACUUAAGAGGAAAACACAGCUAAAUGUCUAACACUGUUCCAUAGACAAAAAAUACCAAAAGUUUCACUCUGCUCAUAAUCCGAUAUAACUCAGUAGAUGCUACACAUGGAAUAAAGGAGAAAUGUGCUGUAGCGAAGAUAGCAAAUGACAUAGCCAAUCAAGCUUACAAAACACGACACACAGUAACAGUGGGCAAGAGUUGGAGCAUCUCAAUUGAACUACACCAAGAACCAGAGGAAGAAGAGCCUCAAAUCUUCUUGCCAGCAUCACCAGCAUCCACCUUUUUGCCACCAUUCUUGAAGUAAUUGUAUGACUCCAGGAAUUUUCCCCUCAUUUCAUCGCUAGCCAUCCACUGGGCUCCAACCACAAUCAAGGCAUAGUCGACCGGACGAAGAGGCACAUCGCACAUCAGCAGACUAUAGGCGGACAGACAAUAAAAGUAGUACCUGCUGGCAUACGGCACCAGUGUCAGUAGGCUCCUCUUUGCCCAGAUAACUUUCUUGUGGAACAUCCUUCUCCCAGCCUCGCUCAAGGCGGCUUCGACAAAAUUCACUUGUUUACUGGCCUUGUGGAGAUCCUCCAGGAGCAGACUCUGGGAAAUAGCCCUCGCAUCCAGUUUCUCAAAGCAUAUCUGUUGGUUCCACUUUACCCCUUGCAAAGCAGAGUCCAAAUUCCUGCCCAUCUGCUCGAUUGCCGCGACACAUGGAUCCUUGCCGUCCCUCACCACAGUCCUCAUUUUAUUGUCAAACAGCAUCUCAAUCUCCUGAAGAUCAGGUUGCAAUCAUCAGCAAAGAACACAUUCAAUCAUCCAAAUAAGGAUAUAAUCUACAGACUGGGUUUGCCAUCGUACAAGCAAUCAUCCCAAUAAGGAUAUAAUCUAAUAUUUAUCUAAUUCUCUACAGACAGCAUCAAUAGCACAAUAAGCAAACAAGUCAUAUAUCAUGGCAACAGAACACUUGAAAUGGCAACAGAAAAUAGACAGUAGAUGAAAUUUCCAAACAGAAUUAACAAAAUAUGAGCCAGCAUACAAGCUAUCAAACAAAAUUUAAUGAUUACACAAGGAAUGAAGUCACGGGAAAUAUUAUGUUAUACAAAUAAUUAAUAUGUUCCACUCAAAUUAGCACAAAAAACAGGUGAGUGGCAUAUUACAUGAGCAAAGAACAGGUGAUUAGCAAAUUACAUGAGCAAAGAACAGGUGAUUAGCAAAUUACAGACACAGCAAAAGACACAUCAGAACAGCUAAGGUGAUCAACAAACUAUAUAAUGAAAAUCACUAUGCAAAUCAGGUCAACUUACAGCUUCAGUAAGUCCAGAAAGCCCAUCCACGACAAAGGAAACAACGUGUGGGUCCCCGGGGCACUCUUUCGGCAAGUCAAGCUGUGAGGGGGAAAAUUGAAUCAGCAUUGAGCAAAAACAAUUAACAGUUGACCUACUGAAUCAAUAUCCAACAAUUUCAACAAGAAAACCGAUCCCAAACCACAUUAGCUUAUAAUCCAAACAAUAUGACUACAAACUGUCGGAAUACAACUUGAUGAGCAUCAUGAACAAUUCAUUGGAAGCUGUCAACAUCCAACAUUUUAGACUGACUGGAAGAUAUCUCAAGAUCAAAUGAUUAACAAAAUGAUGAGCAGAGUAACUUGAGAUAAUAUUCUGAAAGAGAAAUGAAAUGAAUCAAUUAAUAGGCUUGCUACAAUGUCAUGUUACAAGCAAACAUCUGACAGAUUUACACCACAGAACGAGCCCAAGUUGAACGGGAAGAUCUCACCUUAGAGUCAGCAUCAGGAUUGACAUCGGUGGACUCAGGGUUAACUUCGGAUGCAGGUGGGGCAAGGUGCACCUUGUGCAGGACAAGGAUUUGGUCCCUGGCAGCCUUAGACAGGCUGCAGAACAGAUACAUGAUUUUCUACGGGAUCCAUCAGAGCACAAAGGAAUGAAACGAAAGAGGGUGGUUACCUCUCCGCAUAGACACGCGCGAGAUCUGGGUCUUCAUGCACCACCACCAUGACCAGUGUGGGUGCCGGCUUGGUGUGGGAGAACCUUUCCUGAGAGUAGUGGCCGACGCCCUUGGGACGCAGGAGACCAGAGGUGUUGGGCAGGUGAGCGCGGAGGCCGGCGAUGGGGAUGUCAGCGCCGCCCUUGGCAGCAUGGGAGCCGGUGAGAAGACUCCUCGCCGCGACUCCAGCGAGCCGAGAACCCACACGGCAGAGCGCCAUGGCACGCGUCGUCGCUCGCCUCCGCCUCCGCCGCCGCCUGAGGAAGAAAUGUUAGGGUUUAGAUCAGGGGAGACCGGCGCAUAUAAAUAGUAUAGUGAGUGGGCCGUUAUUGGGCCAUAAACCAUACAACGAGAUGCAAAUCUCUGCUAUUAAGCCCACCAUUGAUGUGAAAGUCCAAAAAAAAAUGAGAAGCGCCGCUCAUAGCCACUGGCUGACUGCUGGGGCCAUUCUGUCAGUGGCGUUGGAUAAAUUGCCAGAAAAAGGAGGAAUCAGGCUCUCGGGGGAAUCGAACCCACGACCUGUCCGAAUAGAGACAGGGAGGCGAGCCACUAGGGUAAGCUCUCGCGCGUGACACAGGAGGAAACAGAUCGAACUAGAUCUAUCAAAUUAGGGGAGCAGAAUCAGGAAGAUCAAAACCAAUGAAAACUUGCAUAGAUCUGAAAACAAGUGNNN
rnacentral:lncRNA from 1 species